rnacentral:lncRNA from 1 species
CAGGACUUGAGGUAGGUGUAGACAAAUCUGAUGAAUUACUAAAAGUCAACAAACUGCUAUGACUGCAGUCACCUUUAACAUGAGAGCAUUUCAAUGUAAGCUGUCAAAGUGUAUGCCUUUGCAUUUACCUUAAAAAUAAUUUCCAUGUAACUCAACAUCUGGAAGAAAUAUAUAAAUGACAUUGGGUAGAAUCAGCAGGAUUUAUAUCAUUUUUAUUAGCUGUAAACUUUUGUUAACUUUGCAUGAAAAACAGUCCCUCGAGUGACUACAGUUAUUCUUUAAAUGAGAGGGCACACAGCACCAUAAUUGAAAGCUCUAUCACUCAACACUUCAUUACAAAUAUGUAGCAGGUGUUCAAGUUUUUCUCCACCUCUCCAUGUGAUAUUUGAUUCAGCUGUUGUUUUGACCUAUGGGCAAUAUGUAAAACCUAAACAAUGUUAUGAUGGCCUAAGACAUCUUUUGAUUCAAUGUUGAUUGAUUUCCCAUCAGAAUCAUCAUUAUUGUUGAUGUUGAAAUUUCAAUUCAAAAUCAAUGUUGUUGCAAUGUUAAGAAAAAACAAUGGAAACUGAUGAUAAAGUAACAAUGAUAGCAGCGGUGUUGAAAAACAUUGAUCUACAGUUGUCCUCGUUAUAAUUGAUUUUACAUCAUGACAAUGACCCUGAAAAGAUGUUGAUUCAAAGUUGACCAGGAGAUACUGACAUGAUUGAGAAGUCAUUGAUUUAUGGUUAAGCAGGAGACAAUCCUGUGGUAAAAUGCUAUUCAUCCAGUCAUCUCUCCGUAUCAGGUGAGCACUAUAAAAAAGGAUUCUUACUUUUUGUCAGCAAAACAUAAUAUUUUAAGAUGUGUUAGCUUAAAGAAAUUAAUUUGUCAGAGGAAGUUAAAACUUUAUAUUGUUCUGAGUAUUGCAAUAGCAAGUUGCCACAACUUGAUCUUUAAAUGAAACUUUUUGAAACUUUUUUGUCAAGUUUUCAAGAUCACGGGGUGUGAGAAUGAUUGACAGCCCCUGCUGGUUCAACCUGUACAUUACACUAUUAACCUGUGCAGGGCCUGCCUUGAUGUUACUUCGGAUUGGAUUUGUCAGAAAAUGGGAAUAGACUUUUUUUCACAGUACGCGGAAGCUAACACCGGAAGUGAGCAGAAUGUUCACUUCCGGUGUUAGCGUGUGGUGGAGCCACUUAGCGUCGCCCAUGGACGGCCAUUCAUUUUUCACGAUAUUAACAAGCUCACGACUCGUUUUUUUUGAAAGGUAAAGUAAAAUUUUAUGCUUUCUGUUUUACUUACUCCUGUUCUUCAUAAUACUGUCCGGAACUAAGCAGAAUGCUAACUUCCGCGUACUGAGAAAAAGGUCUAUUUAUAUAGUUCCUACUGCUUUAUGAAAGUCUACUUAUAAGUACAUAAAAUCUGUAUAAACAAGAUUUAAUGACAACCUCACCAUCACCAAGAUGAAUUUUACUGACGUACUGGUUGCUAUAAACUCAGUUUUCACUUUGAUGCCUGUUCAGAAAAAAAAUUAAACUAAUGUCAAUACCACUGGAUGAUUUGGAUGAUGAGCUGUUGUCAAUUUUCAUUUUGCAGUUUGGAACUGAGAGAUUGCUGCUUAUUUUUUUGCCUCUUCACCUGUUACCUCAAACACCCGAGGACGAGACAUCUUCAGAAGUUGGUGCAUCAGAUGCAGCUAACCGCUUGAUGAAAUUCAUACAGGUACGUUCUUAGAAAUGUAAAAUAUAUCACUCUACCUGUGAGUUUCAAAGGUCAGCUCAAUUUUUGACUGAGCUAGUGGCUUAAUGUGAUUUAGAUUUAGUUGUUUGUUUGUUUUUUUCCCACCAGAUGAGCAUAGUGUUUCAGCAUUUUAUUUUCUUUAAAAUUGUGGCACUCCAAGACCAAAAUCAACUGGAUAUAGGGUCCGUUAUUAACUGUUAAACUGUAAUAGGAGUUGGUUGUGUACUGGAUUACAUUGUAUUGAAAGGUGUUCCUAAUAUUUUGCCCCCCCCCCCCCCCCCCCAUGUUUUUUUAAAAAGUGGUCAAAAUAUAAGGAACACGAUUUAGUAUAGAGCACUCCAGUACACCAUGACCACAUACAAGAAGAACAGAUGGCACCUUUCUCACCAUGUCAACAAAAAAUGCAAAUUCUGAAGCUUUCUGAUUGUAGAAUUUGAGGUAGAGCUGUAAGAUUAUAUCUAUAUGUUGUGUAUGCCAUCCUUUAAUGGCAGUGACAUGUUUGGUUCCUGUAGAGUAUGAGGGGGUAAGCAAAUGGGUCAUGGUGCUAAAGACUGAGGAUGUCUACAGUAACCUUAAAUGUUUAGGUGGAGAUAAUUUGAGUGACAGUAUUUUCGGGGAAGUGCUUCAAAGUGUAUUUUAGACUUGAAUUCAUGCUGGAUGAUAUCUCUUAGUGGAGAUAUCUUUUCUUUGUUAGUGCUGGCAAAUUUGAUUAACUUCUAAUGUCAUCUCAUGUCUCAUUUAAGGCCUUCUCUAACUCCUCCUCCUUAUUUCUCUGAAAAUGUUAGACUCAUUUUUCAGUUUAUGUGUGUGUUUUAAACAUGCUUUUUAGAAUUUUUAUGAGUGUCUACGAAUAUAAAAUAUUUUAAUAUGUUAUGUGGUAAAUGAUCCAGAUAUUGCAGGUACAGUACAGCUAUGCUGCUCUGUACAAGUAUCAUGUUUCACUUGUCAUCCCAGACUGUCAGAGCAGCCCUUUACUCAAUAUCAGGCAGUGAUUAGAUCUCCAAGGAAUAUGAGAAAACAAAGUGUCUCUCUAAUAGCGCAAGAAGAAAGAUAGUGAGCAUACCUGUGGCAGACAUGGUGGUGAGUCAUGGGUGUGUGUCGAUUUAGGAUUAGGACUAAGUCCUAGUAACCUUGUGUUAACUGUUAUUUUAGUGUUUUGUUGAAAUCAAGUUAAACAUCAUGGUAAAGAAGGUUUAGUGUAGUCUGAUGCCUGUGAUAAAUUUGAGUGGUUUGUGUAGGUUGAGCCAGUGAAAUACAGAGAUUUCCUGACAUUAGGAUGAAUGGCUGGACAUGUCAGGAAAUGGGUAGUGUGGAAAUGUCACCAAGUAGUGCAGUGGUUGGGCAUGGAGCGAUGCUGAGGCUGAGGAUGUCAGACAGCUUGCUCAUGACCUUCAACCAGAAGGUUUGAACAUAUGGACAGAUCCAGAGGGCGUGGAAGUAGUCAUCUGUUUUGGUUGGGCAGUGUGGACAGGUGUUAUUUUGGCUGAAACCCAUGUGAUACAAUUUGUGAGUGGUGAGGUGGGUUUUGUACGGUAUUUGCUGGGUUUUGGAGUUGAGUGGUUGAUGUAUUAUUGGACAUAUUGUGCCAGUUGAAGUCUGUUGAAAGGUUGCUGAUGCCUGAGGACCAUUUUUCUGACUUUUUUUUAUUUUUAUCUUUAACUCAAUUUACUGAAAGAAGCAGUGGUCGGGAAUCUUGUAUUUCUUUUAUUUGGUUGAAGGUCAUGAGCAAGCCGUCAUGGAGCAGAUGUCCCAGUCUGGCUACUCCUCUCUGGGUUUUCCAAUAGAAGUCAGGGAGCCCCAGCCAAGGGGUGGGUUGAUAGGAGUCAUAGCAAAGGGGUAGUUGAGUUUUGGAAAGAUGCACUUGUGCUAGAGGGGUACAGUUAAACUUAAAAUAGGUCAUUUAAAUUUGAUGAGAUUAAGAUACCAAAGCAAGCAAUACAUUUGGCGGUAUGUAUCAGAAAGGGAUCACCAGCUCAAGCAUCCUAGUCAUGUUUGGUUACAAGCAGAAUCUCAGAUUUUGUCCAUCUGAUAGAGUAGCCAGACACCAUACUGUAGUUACUGCAUAUUAUGGACUGAUGGAAGCAAAGAUGUGGGAUUUGUAAUGUAAAGUAGUAUGUCAUCAGCAAAGAGACUGAUUUUGUGAUGGUGGGAUUUUGAUUGGGUGCCUGUGAUAUGUUUACAUUGUCUGAUGGAAGUAGCCAGAGGUCCAGCAAAGAGAAGUGAGGAUAAUGGGCAUCCUUGUCCAGUAUCUCUCUGUGACUGAAAAGCUUUUGAAACCAGUCCAUUAGUUAUUGCAGAUGCAGUGGGUGAGUUGUUCAGUGUUUUAAUCCAGUUGAUGAAAUAUGGUGGUCAAGGGAGGUGAAGAGAGAGGACCAGUCUAUCACAGCAUCCAGCGUUGCCAUGGCAAAUGGUGAGAUGUUGUAUGGGGGGCUGUUUUCGUGAAAGUUGAUCAGAUUGAAAAGUCUCUGAGUGUUUUGUGAAGAAUGCCUCACUUUGAUGAAACUGCUUUGAGUAGUUAUUUGUGACUAAUGGACUUAUUCAUCAAGAAGCAGUCAGAGUAUGAUUUAUGGUGGGGUGAGUGGUAGGUAUAUUGGUUAUUGCUUGGGUUGUUUAGUCUCCAAAUAGCCAUCAGUCCAUAAUCUGAUGUGUAUUGUUUCAACACAAAUGUAGAUUGGUUGGAUUUGGAAGUGGGAUCGAUCAUUAGAUGGGUCUAAAACUGUGUUGUAAUCGCUGCCUGGGAUGAUGUGUGAGUGAGGGAAGUUAGAUGGUGCUGUGAAUAAAGAAUGAAAAAAGGAGGGAGAGUCUGAGAUGAGUGAGAAUGUCUUUUCCAAUUGUUUCAGGGAUAAUAAUAUAGCAGCUCUCUGGGUCUAUUAGAGUUGAAUUGUGGGUAAAUGGGAUGUUUUUGCUGAUUAGAAUGGAGACACAAGGUUUUUUGGAGCUGUAUGUAGAGCAAUAUGUCUGGUCUAUCCGUUUGUCUGUAAGCUUCUGAGAUUCUGCCUCUGUUAAGUGAGUUUCUUGAGGAAACAGACACCAGAUUGAAGAUUUCUAAGGUGGCUGAUAAUUUUUGUCCUUUUUGGAGAUCAGGAGAGCUGAUUCCUCUCAUGUUAUGUGGUUUAAUUUUCACUGACAGAACCAUGUUCUUGUUAUUGUACAACACUGGGUUUGGUUACACAAUGUGCAGGAAGUAUGCAUAUGGAGUAGGAUUAUGAGUAUGAUAAAUAUGGCACACAAGACAGAAUCAACUUUUGACAUAAACACAAAAAUGUACAAAUAUUAGGAAAAUAUUCACGGGCUGAGAGGAGAGCAGAGUGCCACUGAAGACUCAGCCUUUUGACUACAUUACUGUUUUACAUUACAACUUGUUUAUUGUUUGUAAUCCUCACACUUUCACUCCAACAGGGACUCAUUGAAAGACUUGUUUUGAGAUGCUGGCCUAUGCCAGUUACUAUUCAACAUGCAAGCAUAACCCUGUUGUAAAUUUUAUUCUACACCUAGUGUGGUAGAAAGACUAUCACUUCAUUCCCUGGUUUUAUUUUAAAGCAGGUGGUUUGGUAUUCAAAAGUCUGCUGAGUGUUUUUUUUUACGAGACUGGCUGGAAUUUAACACAACACUGGGCAACACAGCCCUUUGUAGACUAUACAGAGAAUACACAAAUUGUAAUAAUGCCAAGGUUUUUAUCGUUAUUUUGAUAAAUAACUCAAAAUUGAUUUCAGAUGAGUUUUUGUAGUUUUAAAAUUCACGAGGUCAAAAUGCUUCAUGAAAUUAUGUGAGAGUACUGAUUAAAGCAGCCUGUUGCCUUAGAGUAUCGCCAUACAUUUUAUAUUCAAGACGGACCUAUAAAAAUGCUAGAAUUUAUGAAGUAUGACAAAAAUGUUUUUUUUUUGCCAUAAUUAUGUACAGUAAUUCAAAUUUUUGUUUUUUUUUAGUUUUAUUCUAUUGUUUCUGUGCUUUCUUUUCACUCAGACAUAUGUACUAAUAGGGCCCCAUUGUACAGAUCCCUGUGAAGAGCAGGCUGAACUAGCUUCUUGUUGGGGGUGGUGACAGCAGAGGGUAGAGUGAAAAAAUCUAAUAACCUACUUUUAUGAUGAGAUAACUUUCAACAGUACAUAUAAAUAACAUAUUGUGGUUGGACUGCUGUUUGUAAAAAUGAAAGACGUAUAUCUACAUUUUGAAUUUUUGUCACCCUUUCCAAUUUUAAUCUAUUCUUCAAGUGGUUAAAUUCCCAGACUAAACUUGGUCCUAAUAAAAACUUUGCUCUAAUGAAAGAAAUAACUGUCUGUGAAUAUUCAGUCCAAAUUAGGUGUUACCCUGAGCUUGUUUUUCAGAGAUAAGUGUGAUAAAGCAGACACUGUCCUUUUCAGAGAAGCCUUUAUUUUUGCUUUUUGGUAAUAUCCAAAAAGCAACCACAAAAAAGUAAUUUUGCAGUAAUAUCUUUUUAUACAAUCACCCACUUCAUAAACUAGAAAUGUUGAAGUUGUGAAAAAACAUGGUUGUGCUUUGUCCUAUCCCGGUUAGGGAAUUUCUCAAAGACAAAAGCCUUUAUGUGGGUUAGUUCCUCUACUAUUUAUCAAGAUCGACUGAAAGUUUGGUUGAGUUAAAAUUUUCAUGAUGGUGACCACGGUCCAUAGGCUUCAAAAAUAGACUACAGAAACCAUUGGAUGGUGUCUUGGAUACAUAUGCAGUACAUGUUCUCUGAAACUUAGAAAUAAAUGACUAUAUCUGCAUCAUUAUUAACAUCUUGUUUCAAGGUACUGACCUCUACCCAGGCCUCUGUAAUGCAGUGUUGUGUUUUCAUGAUCCAUGUAAUACUUAGGAUCACAACUCACAGAGCGACAAGCAGUCAGCUCUGCUUCCUUUGCAAGCUCCGAUUGUGAAAUGAUUAAUCAGCUUCUGUUCUGAACAGAACGUCUGUUUUUUUGUGUGUAUUUUUUCCACCAUUACAUGUGCCAGCAUGAUAAUAUCUGAACACAUUUCUAUACAUAUGGAACAUCCAUUAUUAGAUGCGUUCCUAUGGAAAUGAAAACAGGAAACUUUGCCCUUGGAAAUAUGUCAAUUUUCUGUGAUUACAGGAUGUGUUAGCAAUGCAGCUGAAUGUAUUUAAUGAGAUGAAUAUAUUUAUUUAAUGUUGUUUAUUCGUCUGUUUAUGCUAGAAAUGAAUGCAGUCAUACAUUCACUUUGCACAGCUCUUCAACAGAACGCUCUGUGUAUAUUUGCGACAUUUGGCAGAACAGGUUUCUUGUAUAUUUGCAGUAAAUAUGACAUGGAGUUACAGUUUGAUUGUAUUUUCUAGUUAUAGGUGUUUUUGUUCUAAAUCCCCUGCAAAUCCCAUAGUCAUUUCUACAUUUUGUUUUGCUAUAUUUUGUCAUAUCCAUUCUUUCUACUGACACAGGCGUACUCCCUGUCAGCUAGUGCCUCCACAUUGCUCAGGAGCUCAGUGAAGCUGGGUCUGUCUUCGGUGACAUGUGCCAUCAGCAGUGCAUGACUGUGGAGAAAUCUGUUGAGAGCUACAGGGCACUGUACUGAAUGGUUCCCAUUGAUCUACAUUUGCCUGACACUGUGACUGACAGAGCCAAUCAGCCUAUCAUGGCCCUGGAGACGGACAGACACUCAUUUACAGGUGAGAUGGGUUAGGAUGAGUUUGAUUGAUUGGCAGACUGUCACCAAGCCACUGGGGCAUUUCAAAACCAUCUCUGCACAGUGGGAGAGCAAUAUUAUGUUGGCGUAUGAGUGUGUAUGUGUUUGCGAGUGCAGGUGGUCAGCCUUGUACAGAUUACCCAGUGCACCUUGAGUGUGUUGACAGGUAAAGGAUCAGGCUGUCAGAUUGGCCCCGCCCACAUCUUUAGAAACUGGUGACGGGGAUAAUGCCAGGAAAGAAUCAUAUACAGUCUUUGCAUGGAUGCAGACCCAUCAAAGUACACACAUACACGCCUUCAAGAUGUCUCUCUCAUCUGCAGAUGUAUUUAUAUUAGAUCUCUCUCUCUCUCUCUCUCUCCAUCUCCUCCCUCUCUCCAUCCUGUGGUGUAGUGUUGGAUCCAGCAGUGCCAUUACUCAAACACAGCUUGUCAGCACAGAUAACAGUUGUUUGUUGUUUAACACUAUACAGAGCGUUGCAUUGCCAGUCAAAGUCUAAAAAAAAACAACAUUCUUUAUUCCCUCUAUUUUUUUUUACAUGAUUUUACAUUCAGCAUAUUCAAAGCUGGCUUGAACAGGCUUCAUGUCUUACACCAGAAAUUAUUUUUCCUUUUUGUCAUAUCGCAAAAAUCACAAUUAAUGGAGGGGAAAUGUAUUUCAUGCGAAAUGCUUCUUCAGCAUAUUUAGAUAUCAAUCAAAGUACAGAGGAAGGGUGUCUUGAAUAGCCUAAUUUUGUUCAUAUAUUAACCACCUGUUCCUCAGUCUAUAUUUCGUUUACAGUAUGUCUUUGGUUUGGGGACCUGGAUCUUUGUUCUGGUGGGAAGUCAGUGUGACAUGGUUUUAAAUCACCCUGUUAUUCAGAGUGCAAAUACUGCCCUCAUGUGGCUGAGCUUUGUUUGUCAAGCAGAGACAACUGAUGAACAUACAAAUUCCUACAACAGUUCCUAGAAAAACAGAAGGCGCAAAAAGUAGGUGUUAAAAUGUGUAAGUCCUCAGCAAUGAACCAGUUAAUGCCCAGAGAGAGCUGAACCAUCAUAUAAUGAAAGUAAUAAUGCAGGUUUGUUGGCCACUAACAUGCCCUUGUUUUGUAUUUUUUAUUCAUAUGAUUUAAAUUCGAUUAAAGCUGAUUGUGCUUGUGAUUUUUUUGGUCUUUUUUCUUCAUGUACCGCUGCCUUGAUACCUUGUUUUUGUUUUGUAUUUUUGACAGGAAGCUGUAAUUUGUGUUUUUACUUUUAUGAUGAAUUCUGUGACUAAAGGGGGACUUAUUUUCUUUAGGAGUAGUGUAUGUAAAAGAGGAAGUGUGAAAAUUCUCCUACUGAUCUGAAGAAUGUAAAACUACAAUCCAGGUAUCCAUGUCAAUAUGUUUUCAUGCAAUUUGUUUCCACUUCUUCAAGUAAAAUGAAUGUAGCCUUUAUAACAUUUACGUGGUGUUAUAAAAUUUAUGUAUUUUAAUUAUUUUUUUGUACCAACAACAGUUUACUGAACAUCCAACCUUCUGGCCAAUGGGAAUAAGACUGCUGAUUUCCUCCAUCUUCCACUCAAGGAAACAGCGGCUUAUCAAGUGCUGUUUUAAGUUUAAUGAUUUUAUCCUUGAUUGCUAAAAGAGUGGAAAAACACACACAGGCGACUCCGUUGUUACUCCAUUGUCAGCUUGUCGAGGCUGCACUUGUUUUUCUUCUCUGUAUAUAAUUGCAUACCACCACCUGCUAUGUUGAAGUAUACAUGCUUGUCAGUAAGUGCAGGAAAGCAGCAUUUACUGGUUGUUUAUACAAGAUUGUAUUUUCUGAAUAAUGUGUUUCACGAAAUUGCUGAAUGACACAUUACUCCAUGGUGACAAAUUUUACAGAUAUUUUUGUCUGGGUUUUGGCGAGAUCUCUGAUAAAUUCAUAAUGCAGGUUUCCAUUAAUGUGUAAUGGGGACCCUGCAGCCCACACAAUGAGAGACAUUAUUGAUGAAAAGUCUCGGCUGAGCUGCAUACUGCAUGAAUUGUUUGCAGUGUCUCUCUCUCUGGGUGGUCUGGUUCAUCUACAAGGUUUCUUGGGAGAGGAAGCAUGUGGUGUCACAGUUUCCUGUGUGAUCUGACAGUACGCUUCAGUGUGUGAGCGUGUGUGUGUGUUAUUGAUGUGCUGUUGACGUGUUUCUCUGAGGGUCGUUACGCUCUUGUGGAGGCUGUUACUGGAACACACCUGUUGCUGCUGAAACUGCUCAAAAAAGUCUUCUGUUUGAAAAAAAUCUGCAUGAGGAGGAUAUAAAAGGCCUAGUUUAUGAUAAAUAUAGUCAUUUAUAUACCUUUUAAAAGUCCUUUCUGCCCCCUGCAUGUCUAAUCUUAAACUCCUGUCUUUUUCUGCUGUUUUAUUUUUAUAGUGGCUGUUUUAUUUUGUGGGAACACUCAGCAGAAACCAGACACCAUCCUGGGACAUAUAACUGAAUACUUGUGAAAAGUGGUGAACAAGCCAACAAUUCCGAUAAUACUACACCGUAUGGACCAUUAGCCAACACGUCUGCUGACACCUUCUACCCCGCACAUAUGUGUAUUCUCACCCGUAUGUUAUUCCUCAUGUCCAGGCAUCUGCAGACUGCUUUUCCUGCGCCCAGAUGAUUCUGGAACUCAGGCUGUUUUAUCAAGUGCAAGAGUCCCUGAAUGAGCUUCCCACCUUUGGUUUGGCAAAUUACAUUUCCUGCAAAAUCCCUCUAGUAAUAACCUCAGCGCCAGGAGGUGUGUUUAAACAUAAUAAAUCGACAGUUAAAAGACGGGCAGACAGACAAAGGGAGGAAAGUAUAUAAGAGACAGCUCAGCUUCCCUACAUUUAAAACAGAGUCUUUGAACACGUAUAAGUUUGGAAACAGACGCAGGUUUUUAUUUGUUUUUUCUGCAACCCUUACAAUUUUAACUACAGUGUCAGCUUUAAUCCAGCAGAUGGCAGUAAAACACAAUUGAGACAGCAUUCAUACUUCAAUGUUAACUCAGGGUCACUUGGCUUUACAUCCCUAAUGUUAUCAGGGGAUGUUUUACUUAAGAGCUGAAACAGAAAAUCUCAUUCAUGUCUGAGUAUCUUCACCUAAUGAUAGAAUUCAGUUACUUUGGAGUUUCUUUGUUUACUUUAUAUGAGCGUAUGAAUCCAAGCGCUCUCCACACAUUCACAAAGCCAUGCACGAGCCAACAUUAACUCCCUCUAAAGCUUUACAUUGAAUAUUUUCCUCUUAAUUACCACCUUUGCUUAAUUCUCAGAAUGCACAAGGAGUAGGAGAAAAAAAUCAAUAAUUGACAUGGAUGAUGUCUUGCAUUUCUCAAUAAUUUCUUGGAGUUUGCAGUGAUUAUCUUAUCUUUCAAGAAAACAUGUCAUAACACUUUACUUUCCUGGGAAAAAUAAUGAUGAAGAGAGGCUGUAGGUCAAAGGAGAGGGGGCUGUUUGUACAGACUGACAUUUGGCACAGGCAUACAUAAACAAACAGCUCUGGUGAUGACAAAAAUUUCUGUUUUAACCAACUAUUAAAAAACAAAAUCUGACGGGUCAACUUUUGUUGAUUUUAAAAUUCCGGCAACAUUUCUAUCAGCUUAGUUAGAAAAUGUAAGCUUGAUUAAAGCUCCUGUGAGGAGUUUUUGAUUGGUGAUGAAACGGAUUGAUAUAAGCAGUGAGACAUCUAUAUGACGUUUGAAUGCAAGUAAGACUUUCUUUCUUUAUUGUAACUUUUAAUGACUGUUACUGCUGUGAGGGUGCAGGGGCCUGUUCUACGAAGCAGGAUUACUGCUUACCGAGGUAACUUCAAGGGUAAGUUUGGGGUUUCCUUUUCUACGACGUGGCCCUCUUCUCACUUCUUAGCGAGGUGAGUCUCCAUGACAACGUACCCUUAAACGGCUAACCUGCUCCGGGCAGGUUAGGUUCCAGAUUGAUCUCGCCGAGUAGAAAAACCCUGCUCACGGACCAAUGAGCUCUCUCAAAAAAAAAGGCGUUUCUGUUCUUGGAGGAUCCUAUAGACCUCGGUGCUCGCAUUGUCCGAGGAGCACUCCGGCGCGAGAGAGUUUUCAGGGACUGCACGAACCCACUUACUUUUCCGGAUGACCACCUUUAUGAAAGGCUCAUAUGGCCGACAUAUCACACAAAAAAUGUAAACACGAUAGGAAUGAACAAAUGAAUGAAUUCAUCUUGGAAAUUAAUUAGACGUGUCUGGUGCAUGUUAAAAGCGCAUGUUGAACAGUGCUAUUUCAGGGUGAUAAUGGCAUCAAGGAUUUUUUGCGCUCUAUACUUACGCAUUGAGACUGUCGGCAAUUUUCUGUUAGAAUUCCUUCCGUGCUUUUUCAGCGGCGACGGUGUUGUUGCUUUUGAGGUUUAUGAUGAUCUGAAUUCUGCAUUCUUUCUCAUGAUCGUCACCUGCUCCUCGUUUUUAAAGUAUGUGGUCCUUCGCUCUCCUGCUCCGACGCUCCAGAUUGGUCCAUGUUCGCGAUUGGUCAGAUGCGGCGGGCUCAGCCUUACAUGCGUGCACGCGCUCAUAGCAAAGCUAGAUCCAAUUAUGAGGUUGAUAACCAGCGUCGUAAGACCGUUUAGCGAGACCGCUGGCUACCGCACUAAGUUGAGCAAGGUAGCUCCAAGGCUACCUCGCUAGGUCGAACUUGCUUCGUAGAAUAGGCCCCAGGUAUGCUAAAGAAACAUCCUUUCUUAUUUUUCCCACUACAAACAUGAACAAGGUCCAGAUAAAAUCAACAACCGUACAAGAGUUAUCAUUUUGUCCACAGAGGGCGCCAAAUCAGUCUCAGUGACUUUUCUAAUGCCAAAUAUUUACAGUAGGUGAGAAAUUUCACCCUAAAAAGUCAACAGGAGGAUGUUUGUUUGUCAACUAACCCGACUCUUUAUGAAGUCGGCAACAACAUAAGAGUUACCACUUUGUCCACAGGGGGCACCAAAACCAAUGCAGACAGAGAGUGCUUCACAGGAGCUUUAACAGUGCACUGUAUGUAUGUUUAAAGUAGUUUGUAUUAAAAAGAAUCAAAGAAAAAGCCUUUUGUAUAAAUAGAUACAGCAGGUCCUCGCUCCAGGGGCUGACAUGUUGCGCUGCCAUGUUUUUUUUACAGUAACUCAGAGUUGACUAAUGAGCAGGAAGUGAACAUGUUUGGUCAAUGACUGGGUUGCUACACAACAUGCUGUGUAAGGGGAAUGGAGAGAGCUGAGUGGGAUUGAUUGUUGUUUUUGAUGUACUUAUACUUAUCACUGCAAAAGCACAAUGAGAUCCGGACAGGCGACAGCAGACAACAGGGGUGAGAAUCAAUGUUUCCUUUUAUGAUCCCUAUGUUUGAAGAGGGACACCAAAAUUGCCAGUUUCACGCUGGACAAGUAGGAGAACAUUUAUUCAUUCAAACUAACAUUAGUUUAAAGAACAAUGAAGCCUGGAUUAUCUCAGUUAGGGCUGCUUUCAGAGAUAUUGCUAAUAUUUCAUCAGAAUGAUAAGAGUCAACAGUGGGGUGAUGUUGUGCCAAUAACUCAUCAUUUAUUCCUUUUCUCUGACAGUAUCAUGACUCAUUGUACUCAAACUAACUAGAAAAGGCCAACAAUUAGCCACAUGAUGCUGUUUUGAAAGGGGGUGCAGAGUCCUGAUACUUCUAACAAUGUGGUGCUGAGGCGACAAAUCGUUAGGUACAAUUAAAUGAGACUCUCCAUGUUCCUCAUUCUGGCACAGGCUGAUUGCUGCGGAACCAAAACUCUCAAAACAUGAUAACUUUAUUCUCGUAAUAGUAUGGCUUUACUUUGACUUGAUUUUUAUCAUAAUAUGCCUUUAAUCUUGUAACAUUACAACUGGAUUUUAAUACGGCUUUACUCUUAAUCCUCUGAGGAAAAUGUUGUUUUUCUUAUCCUGUGGGAAAGUGACGUAAAAGAAAAAUCUCAUUUUAUUAUGUGACCAUAUAUUUUGUUGUAGCUACGUAAGAAACAGUUGCUUUUUUUAAGCAUUCCUUGUCUAAUAUCAGCUUCUAUUACUAAACCAAUAAACUACUCAUUGUCAAUAUCUUAAAACUGACCUGAAAAACAUCACCAUCUAGGUAUCUGAAUUAUGUUACAUGCAUCUGUUUUAGAUGAUGCCAUCUUUAUUCCGUUAAUCCCUUUUGGUUCUCGAGGGCCACCGUUGCUUUAGUGAAUUCUACAGACUGCACCUUUAAAUAAGCUGCAUUAAAAUGUUACAGCAUGUAGGCAAUUAAGUUAUGUUGUUUUCUUUGAGUUUACUUACUAAAAUACCACAUGGAUAAUGACAGUAAAAACACUUUACAAACUAUGUAAAUUAUUUAUUAACCCAUUACAGCCAGCGCUUGAAAUGAGCUGGAAUGCUCUAGUGUGCAGUACAGCCACUUCUCUACUGAACCCCUUACCAUACUGAGACUUUUCUGUCCUCUCCUUAUCACAGUUUACGUGUUUAUUUCAGGAGAAAUUACCACCAAACUCUCUAUUUACUAGAAAGAGUUCUCUUCUCAAGCACUUAACAGAGAAAACAAAGAUGGGAAAUUGAUCUGUUAAGCUGUACAGCAGGAUGAAAAAUCUUUUGAUUUAAUAAAUGUAGUGUUGGAAUGAAACCUGCGUUUCUUCCUGGCUGGAGAAGAGCUUAUCAGCAAAGCUUGUGUUUCCUGAUAAAACUGAAACUCCUUUCCAAUAAUGCACAGAGGGGAGGAGGAGGGAAGCAGGAACAAUCAGCCGAUACAGAGGAAGAUGCUUUGCUGCGCUGCAAUUGGCUGCUUGAAAGUCGGCAGUCGGCCACAAAUCAACACUUAACGUUCAGGAGGCUGGGGGAUUCUGGGAAAGCAUGUGACAACAGCAGGCAGCAUAACAGCUUAAAUAAUCACGCCUAGAUUUGCUGGAUAUUACAAGAACUGCUUGCCGGGCGGAAGAUGCAUAAUCAUGCUUCCAGGAAGGGAGCUGAGCUGAACGACUUCUGGCUGUGGUUGGAUGUCAUUACGCCAAUUUCCACUUCUAUUCAUGAUUGCAUUAUUACAAUAUCAGGCUCUCAGGGCACUCUGGGUUUGCACUGAUUGGUUCUUGCUCUUACAGGACAGCUUCUUUAGUUGAAAUCAGCUGGAUGCUUUGUUAAAUGUGUAGAUCUGGGAUGUUCUAGCAGGAUAAGGGUGUGUUUUCAGUUGGGAGUUAUACUCCACUUUGGCCAGCAGAUGUCAGCACAUACCUACUAGUCAUGUCACUUGCUUGAGCUGAAUCAGUAGCUGCUCCCUGGAACAUGCCUUCAUGUUUUCAUUUUCAAUCCACUUCACAGAGAAAACUGCUGUCAUUGCAUGUCCUUACAUCAGGUUAUGGAUGCUACUUCUUAACUCCAGUUCUGAGCUGCAAAUCAGUGUGUCAGUGAAGUUAGCAGAUAUUUCCAAGCCUACUUUUAUGGGUUAAUAAUGGAUUCAGCUCUAAUGUCUUUCCCAGCCUUACUUCUUCCAUCAAGUGUUGUGAAACACUUUCCUGGCUGCAUGUUUUAUUUUCAGUGUUCGUCUGAAUCCUGAUACCGCUAAAUACGCCAGGAUCAAAACAUGACCUUUUACAGCAUGUUCCGGGUUCUGCGCGUCAUGUUGUAUGACUGUUGUGACAUGUCUUGCAUUUGCCCUCGUGCAGCCUUUCACAACAACUCUCAUACCUUCAAUUAAGCUCUAUACAGCACAUGGAAAGGCCAGGGGGGGGAAAGAUGAAUCGUUUUGUCACAUGCUGUCACCUGACUACGAAAGAUGAGUGAGAGAACACAGGGUGCUGUUACAGUCUGUGUGAUCGUUGCAUGAUUUAAAGCUGGUUCCACUCUCCUCUCUGCAAAGGGGGUCAUGUGGUGUUGGUAUGCCGAUGGACACCAGCACCGUCCAUUUCUGGAGGUAUGGCAUGUCUGGCUGUGACAUCACUGUCCUGCUGACUGCAUCGCUGAUGAAGCGGCACAACUAUGUUUGGAGAUUUUUACGUUAGCUGCAACCAAGUAAGGGUGAAAAAAUGGACAUGCAGGGAAAGCAAAGUCUGGGUUUUUCCAACUAAAAUUGUGGCCCCGCCUCCCAGUUAGAGAUCUGUUCUUCCAUGUAAUAACCUAUUGUCUAAAAACUCAUGUAACAUGUUCGUUUUUCCAGUCAUGCUCUGAACAGGAUCACCUUUCCUUCCUAAAGGGCAAACUCUUGAACACAUCAUGUGAACUAUCUCUCCUGUUCCCUGUUUUGACUUUUUCUGCCAACUUCCUGAUUUACUUUUACCCCAAACACCCAACCUAAUAUUUACACCCAUACUCUUCGUCUGCCCCUCUGUCUUUUUGCCUGCAGAUAAAAAACAAUCUGAUACUUAUUUUUCCCUGUUUGGUAGCACAUCCGUCAACUAAAGUUCUGCAAUAGUACUGUUGGGAACAACCUUCACCAGGAGGCUAAAAAACCAAUCUAACCUUAAAAAGGUCACUAUGAAACAACAUGAGCGCAGUUAUCCCCGAGGUGGAACUCAGACAGUUGUCGUGACUUUUAUGUCCUAAGCUGUUAUACUUUGUACUCAGUAGAAACAGCACUGACUGUUCACUUGGGGCAGAUGUAGGUCAGGAAGCUGGUAUGAGGGAAACAGCACGUGAGUGACAUACGACACAUAUUUCUGUGUCGUUUUGAACAAAACAGGAGAAGAAGAAGAAGGAGGAGGAGGAGGGGAAGAGUGAGCGUGAGAGAUUCAUGCAGGUUCUUCCAGUUUAUCUAUUCAACUUGGAGUAUAAUGAGAUGGACAUACUGUACACUGCAGAGAAUUUAGCCCUACAGUAACAACAAGCAGAGGUAUCAGACUUCAGUGUAUUGUCAGGCUGUGCUGUAUUGCAUGCCAUAAAACAUUUCCCAGCAUAGCUUUGCAGAGCUGACAGCUAAAAAGCACGCUAAACCCGCACAGAAAGGUCAGAGAUUGCAGAUAUCUGAAUCAAAGGGUAACUUUCUGAGUGUACCAAUGUGUAGAAAGGAAAACAAAACGGCAGUCAGAUUUUGAUAAUCAGUCACCUCUCAGUCCCUAGUGACCUUUUCUUGCAAAGUGGUGCCUCUUUUCGGUAAAGCAGGCCUGUUUUUCUUACAUGCCUUUUGCCUUCAAUAACCCAAAUGUCACUCAAGGUCCCAUAGGGGCAUGCACCCUUUCACUGUGACAUGAUAAAACUCCCCCCAGCGUGUACCAAAAACUUUCACCUCCCCCUCACAGAGAGUGGGAAGCGCUCACUGACUCAGAGCUGACACUGGUGGACUUUCAGUUCUGUUUGCAGUUUACUCCACAGUGAAAAGAAGACCCCCGGUUAUUUGAAGUUGCAUACAUGCACGGGUUUAGGAAACAUGAUAAACUUGCAAACAGUACAUCCCUUUCAUGUAUCUCCUGUGUGGCGUGCAUGCGUGCGGUAAAGAGAGGUGAACAGAGGUGGAGGGAGGUGAAUGGAGGUGGAGGGUGAAAAGGAGGUAAACAAAUGGAACAAUGAAACACGGUGCAGGACAUUCUGACCCAGAGUGAGGAGAAAGGAACAGAGUAAGGCUAGAGUAACACCAUGUGUCUGCCUUAGCCCUUGGAACAGUGCCCCCAUGCCAAGACUGUCAAUAGAUCACACAGUGGCACACAUGGAUACACACAUGCAAAGACCAAUACACACACUUACAGGCCUGUUACGUGCAAGCACUUACAAAUACUUAAAUAAUCACUCACGCACACACUACUCAGUGUUGCACUGCUAAUGAUGUUCUCUGAAGAGAACAGGAAAGGGGAUCAAUAGCUAUUAGAAAGCACUGUGAGGUUGUAUUUCCCUCUCUUCCCUCUAAUGUAAGCUGGCUAUGAUUUGUUUCAGUAAAAGUGCACAGCCAUUUCUUUUCAUCUGGUCACUUACUAUUACAGUAACAACUAAAUAUUACCAGCAGUACAUUUCCUAUUCCUCUGUGACAGAGGGGUUAUAUUUGUUUUGUAUUCCUGAGUGAUGACAAAAAGGCUGCAUACUAUAUUUAGACAUUUUCACUGCAAAACCUCAAGAUAUUAAUAGGAACACAGAAGCUACGUAUAUGACCAUAAUUUGAUAGUUUGCAGUCAUCAGGGAUUACAGAGGAGUUUUCUUGUUCUGUGUUUGUGGACUUUGAUGAGCUGAAGAAGACACUACUUGUCCCUUGGAGUUCACAUUACUUUCUAUGAUUGCUUUUAUAGGAGAGGAUCUCAAAAUAGCCCCAUAGAGGAACAGGCUGUCUUUGAAACAUGUGUCUGUAACACAUGUUGGGAAAAAAACAAUCUUUACAAGAUGCCAUGAUGCUUUGACAAAAGGCAUGAAAAAUUGGAUUUGGGUCAAAGAACAUUGUGAUAUUUGUUCCUCUCAACAUGGGCAGUUCUGCUAUAAUAAUAACUGCAGCUGGCUAUCUCUAUUUGGCCAGGCUGUGAUUUCAAAUGUAGAACGGAGGCCUAUUUAAAGGGUCAUUGAAGCUGACUGCAGAGUGCUUUUGUGUGAUGCUUGACAUUUUAUAUACGUAGGAGUGCAACACGGGACAUGCAUCCCUGUCUGCCUCACAUGGCAAGACAGGUCAUGCAUCUGUGUCUGCCUUAGAUGUUAUGUUCAAUAUCUGCAGCAUGAUGGGUCGGUGAAUGUUGGCAUGGACUGCUGAAAAGAAAUCUUGGAACAUGAUUUGCAUUCAGAGAAGUAACCAGUGCUGCAGAGAUUUAAUAGGAAAAACACUAUGUGCAUGCAAGAAAAUCAUGCAAUUGCGUAAAUACUUGUCUCUAGAUAUGGUAAUGCACUACAUUUCACAACAACAUAGUAAAUAAUGAAUGCUGUAAUGAAAAUGUAGCAAAAUCAGUCAUCAAAUCACUGCAAUCUUUGCCCUGUUUGCUUUGACUCAGCUUUCCUACCAACGAUGCCAUGUGUGCCGUUCUCUCUCUGUGUACACAGAGCCACCGUGUGUUCAUAAACUUGGGGGAAACUCCAGCUUGCCACAGAUGAGCAAAGUCUCCCAUCAAACAGUCAAAAUCUGAUCACUGUGUGAGAAAUGGCAGCUGCAAAACAGCAGCAGAGAAAAGGUUUAGCAGUCAGUGCUUACACAUCAGUUUGAAAGUCUCUGUGUGUAAAAGCGGGUUUGUUUGGCAUGCUCUGGUAACCCCCCACAUUCAGAGAAAAAGCUAACCAGCUUUUGAAACUGUGCAAAAAAAAAAAUUCUCCCCAGUUGCAUAACAUCUUCUUAUGUGUCGCGUGUUUUGUGUAAGGCUUAGUCAGCUGUUAAAAUUAAAAAACAUCAGACUCCCAGUAUGAAGAAACACAUUCAUGCUGCACUUUGAGGAUGCUAGCUUCAUGUAUUGUGUAGCUUAGACAGAAAGCCUCCAUCUCACUGUCUCUCUAUUUGAAAAGCCACGUGUUGGUCUGUCAUUAAAGGUCAGAGGUCAAUCAGUAGCAGGUCGAGAAGUCAGCAGGUCAGAGGUAGGUCUCUGUGUUGUAAUUGUGCCGUCCCUUGGGCUGUGUAAAAGGGACUAGACAGCUGUCCUGCCCCAUAAAGAUACAUUAACCCUGCCCUGGCUAAGUGCAAACUGGGCCUAUCUAGUCCAUGAAUGGCUGUUUAAUGGCUGCAGACAGAGAGGACUGAUGGACAGAUGAAACAUAGAUUUGCCACUGCAGGAUCUUGUGGGCUCUCUCUAUGAUUGUUGCAGCCUUAAAUGCCCGAUUUUGGUCAUUUGUCAUCACUUUUGGUUAAUUUCUGUGUUGACUUUGAAUAAAAAAUAUAAAAAGUUGAUUACUACCUCACUGCAAACUCUACAUGUUCUUUACAACCUCCUACUGGUAUAUGAUAAAGUCUGUUUUGGGGGGAUGACUUAGGGGAAGUUUUAACAUCUUCUGGAAGAGUGCAGUUUGUGCAGCCCUCUCUAGAACUAUCUAUGAUGUUUGCAACCCUGCUAGCUACCAGUACUGCACUGAGAACAGCCUGCAACCACAUAUCUGAGACUGCUGGUCACAUGUUUGUCCAAGGCAUGACUUUAGCUUGAUUUUAAAACAUAAAAUACAACUAUCUGUAUCAUCAUGUUAUUUAGGGUGACCAUACCAGGAUCAGGGUCCUCGUUUACAUGGACAUGUCCUCUUUUUUGGGGGCUGUCCAGGCUUGUCCGGCUUAGUCCAGGGAAGUUUAUAAAAUCCUUCAAAUGUCUGCGGUUUUGUCUGUAAGUUUCGAUUUUGUGUCACAUGGACUUACUGAGUUAGAAGCAUGUAAAAGACACUCAAUCCGACCCGAAAAAACUCUUGAAAUCAACUUUGUGCGACUCCGUGACUCCACCCCCACGUAGUUGUGUCCUCUUUUUGGAGAUUCAGAAUAUGGUCACCCUAAUGUUAUUGUAUGUACUCAGUUAUAGGAUGCAGCCCUUUUUUUAGAUGAAAAAAGCAUUAAAAUUGGCUCUGAAUCGUGGGGUAGAUUAGUAACACAGCCUCUGGUUGGUGGAGAGCAGGGAGCAUGUAGCUUCUGAUUGGUCUUUGGCUUUACAAAAUGCACCAGGAAUGGCUAGGUUAAAUAUUUUUAACACAGAAAUAUGAAUAUAAAAAGGGUACGUAAUGGAUUUUAACUGCUGUGAAUUUACUUUGAAAGUCUUAAAAAACAAACAGACUGUAGUUUAAGGCUGGAUUAGGAUGCCCCUAUUUAAUAGAGACUGGACCUGUCUGCUGUGAUGCAGAAAAAAAGUAUGUUUUUAUUGUGCUGUGGUCCACUGAUAUUAUUGACAGUAAAAAGUACUUUUAGAUAUUUUAUAGAGCAUACCUGAGAGUCAAAGAAUUGAAUUUGGCAGCAGAAAUAACACUGCCAGGAGGAGAAACUUGGUGAGAAGAUGUGGAUUUCGACAAAACUGCAAAUUUGCACAGAAUAUACUGAGAUUGUUCUAAUUUGACUCGACUUUUGCAACUGCUAUUUAACAAGACAGACACUGUAAGAUUUGACUGAUAGAAAAAGUCACUCUGAAGCGUGGACUCAUGAGCCUCUAGUGCCUUCGCUGUUUAAUGAUGCAUCAAAAACAAGUACACUGAGCAUUGUGCGUCUGUAAAGAGGUGGUUCUCUGUGUGGUGCAGCUGUUGCGUCUCCCCUGGGUGAAGAGGAGGGUAAAAGGGACAGAGGAGAGGGUCUCUGCCCUGCACUGUCUGUUUCAUUGUACUGCUGCUCCUCUCAUUCUCUGCCUACUUCUCAGGUUUCACAGCCCACACGCCUGAAUCACACAGUCACCAAUGAUGUGCACACUCACUCUCGCACUCACACUCACACACUCAUACACUUUCUACCCGCGGGGAUGAUUCACUGUUACCCCCCUCAUUUCCCUGGGGAGCAGUGACUCAGGGUGAGAGGAGAGGAAGAAGAAAAGGACAGAAUAUAAUAGGGCCCAGUAAUAAGUGAGAAGAACAUAGAGCGACUGGUUUGAGAGUGGUGUAAGGAUGAGCAGUUUGGCCUUCAGUCCUUUGAGGAGGCAGCAGGCGCUCUGUGGAGCUCAACUUGUGCUGAACAUGAGCUUCAUGAUGCACACUGCUGGUCUUAGUCACCACGGCAACUGUUAUGCGGUGUUCAGCAGAGGGACAUUUUCUGCAAACGACAUUCAGCAUUGUUCCAGAAGUGCAGCGCCCCCCUCAGCCCCCCUGAUAUUGUUUCAAAGAUGUUCUCCUGUGAAUAACAGAUGCCCUUGGAGAGAGAAUACUUCAUUUUGGCUUCCAGGAAUUAAAUCAAGACACAAUCACUGGAAAUGAAUGAGCUGAGAUUGAUUUACUUUUGAAUCAUUCGAAGGAAACACGGAUAAAACAAAAGUGCAAAGACAAAUAACUUUUAAAAGAAAGUGUAGUGCUUUCACUUAUAAAACCAGAAGCAGUCUGGCCUGUGCUUUCUUCUUUCAGUGCACCUAAGAGACUUCAGCCUGAGUAGUUGAGUGACAGAGCUCUUAUCAGCAGAUCUGCUUACUGUGCUGCAAUGUGCCAACGUGCAGGUCACACAAGCAGAACAUGUAACCCACAAGAGAAGCCAUGUUUCUGUGGAUUCCCUGCUAGAUAAGUCAAGGUAUCAGAAUUACUCUUCGAGGAAAAUACCCAACUUUUCAUUGGUAGAAAAUCAAACCAGGCCAGCAGAUUUCUUUGGAGUUUUAUAACAACAGCCAAGCACAAAGGCAACCUAUCAGAAAAUGUUCUGACCUUUCGAUCUCUUCAUACUCUCUUUCUAUUUCUCUGUCCUUUCACAUGUGGUACAGUUAUUGCUGUACAGGUCCACCCAAUUUCUGAGAGAAGCUACUUCACUUUCUUGUCAAGUGGUCCUAAUUGGUGCUGUUAUGAGCAGUCAGUGUGUGACCUUACUUGUCUGAGAAGUGGGGUGAGUCAGAGUGCAUUAAGAGCGGCAUCUUAAAGUACGGCCUUACCACAUGGUGUGGUGCUGAAAGAGAGAAGGAGAGAGAACCUCACCUCACAGCAGUCAGGCAUAUGACUCACGGCUCUUUCUCUCUGGGAUGCUUUCAACCCUAUGUGGGUGUGUGUGUGUGGGACUGUCAGUGUGUGGUAGUGUGUGGUGAGGAUCGGCACCGGCUAAUGUCAUUUAGUUUCAUGCAACAACAGUUUCAGCCUUAGCAUGAAUGCAUGUAAGUUUUACAAACAUACCCGUGUUUUAUCACACAUAUAAAUCUUAUCAAGUAAGGUUUGAGUUACCAAUUCCAAAUGACAUGUCGUAACCAUCUUACUCAAAUGAAAAUAACCUCAAGCUGGGGCACCCAUGAUGUCUUGUUGUGAAGUGAAUGCUGAGCAAAGUGGAGUUUCCUUCUGUGGAGGAAUCCCCCCUGUGCAGCGACCUGGUUUCUGUCUGUUUCACCCACACACACCGCACUAACACACACCCACACAUACAGUACUGCAGACAGUGCAAAUGAAAAGGCUGAUUUGUAUAUGUAGCUAGCACACACUGUAAUAGUAAUGUUAGGUCAGAGGAAUACUACAGUUGUUACAAUAUAAAAACUAGUACUUGUAUAGUACUAUGUAUAAUGGCUGCCCCUUGCAGUUACUGUUUUGGAGUAUCAAAGAGUAGCUACAAGGGAAAUUUAAUGAUAUAUUAGCAAUCAGUGUUUUCUAAUCAUCUGUUUUAUGACUGAAUACUAAGUGAAAAAAAGGUAAAAUAACUGAAUAAAGUUAUGAUUUAUCAAAAUAAUCUACCAUACUAAUUGUAAUAUCGGUAACACCUUAUUUGAUGCCUUCCUCUAAAACACAUGAUAAAUAUAUUUAUAAUGCAUUCUAAUCAUGUUAUAGCACUGUAUAACUAUAGUUAUAAACACUCAUAAAUGAUUAUAAUGAUUUAUAGCAAUGAUCAUAACACAUUAUAAAGCAUUUUAUCAUGACCUACAAGGUCAGGUAUUAUAAUGUGUUAUGAUUAUUGUCAUAAAGCUUUAUGAAAACUAAUGAGUGUUUAUAAUGAUAGUUAUACAAGUUUAUAAGCAAAUUAUAACACAUCAUAAAUAUAUGUACAAUGCAUUAUCUAUGUGGGCAUUGUCAGUGAGUUGUUAACAAUUAUAACACAUUAUAAUACCUGACCUUGUAAGUCAUGAUAAAAUGCUUUAUAAUAUGUUAUGAUUAUUGCUAUAAAGCGUUAUGAUCAUUUAUGAGUGUUUAUAACUAUAGUUAUACAGUGCUAUAACGUGAUUGUAAUGCAUUAUACAUACUUGUAUAGUACUAUUUAUAAUGGCUGCCCCCUCGCAGCUACUGUUUUAGAGAAACAAAGUAGCAAAGCAAAAAGUAGAAACUUUUAUGUUUCAUCAAAAUAAUCAACCAUACUAACUGUAAUAUCAGUUAUAAAGACCCAACGCUGAUGCAACAUGAACAAGUUCUCCACAAUUUUUGUCAGCAGUGUAAAGAGAGAGCUUCUUUUCACAGGUAGAAACCUUGUGCAGAACCAGAUUCAUGUUUAAUAUCUAUCUGCUGCAAUGAGAUGAGCCAAGAAAGUGAGAUUGAGGUCGAGAUAGAAAGUGAGAACUCAGCAUAAUAAUUAGAAGUUUCCCCGUUUUCACAGUAAAAACCUCAAACCAGUGUCCUAUUACCUUGAUCACAGUGACAUAUUGGUGACUACGCAGCGACAGAGGGCCAAACAGACAGAGGUCAUCAUUGGCUUGACCCCUCUAAUGGAGUAUGGUGAUCUCUGACCUUUGACCAGUCUGCUCAGCCCAGUCAUGGCCCUUAUUGACUCAGAUCAAGAGUCAGCUCACACUUUGCUGGUCUGGGUCUGAAGGAAAAGUGAAAACUGGCUCUGGAUCAGCGUCUGUGACCCUUUUAGACCCUCCUGCUCAGCAGUCCAUGUGGCUUACAGGGAGGAGGAAGUGAGCGUAACGUGUGAUUAUUAUCUGACUGACAGGAAACCCUUUUGUCUCCGGGGUUAUCUGGCUGCUUGCAGAGGAGAUGACGUGAACACCAGAGGACAGAGAGGCUUUUUCACCAGCCCUUUGGACCACAACCAGCAAAAGAUGACUCCAAAACUGAUGUCCCCCCUCUAGUCUACUGCUGAAGUUUACCUUAAAUCCUGCAGGUCAAAUCAACAUGUAAUUAAACCAUACCAGCAUGCACUCUUUUCCUCCCACUCUUUCAUGUCUUGCCAUCUCGUGUGUCCUUAUUGUCCUGCUGCUUUUGUUGUUUUACACAGCAUGUAAAAUUUCACAGGAAUCAUGAGUAAUGGGACCCCAUGGUGCAUAGACACAGUUACAUGGUGGUCUGGCACACGCUCCACUUCUCUGUGUUCUCUGUUUACCUUUGUCAUAUCAGUGUGCGCUCAGUUUAUAAAGCAAAAGAUAGCAGAAGGGUAAAUAUUCUAUAAAUAUAGAGGCUCUAAAUCUGUCUGAUAUACACAGAGCUGGCCAAGUUGGUGCUCAUAGCAAGGUUAUGUCUUGACAUCUCCAAAUUUAUUGGGGGUGCAAAAUUUAUGGGGAUUUCUUAUUAGGACUUCAGGAGAAAAGUCUGCUAUUAAUAGUCCAGUAUCAGUUUUUCUGCCACAGAGUAUCAGUUCACAUGCCAUAAUGCAAUAUGAAGCCCAGGCCUGAUUAUAACCUUGAUUAUUAUUAUUCGUUAUUGUAACUCUUUAACCUCACAGUUACCAUUAAAAUGUCUGACUAAAGUUUUUAAUGGGAACAUUGUAGUUUUUCCUUAUUGUAAAGAUAUUAAACAUUCUCGUGUACAGGUUCUGAUUCUGAGUAAUUCAAGAUUCACUUCAGUGUCAUUUUCCUUAUAAUUUGAAUAUCUAAUAAAACAGGAACAAGGUGCUUUCCCUCAGCCUACAUCAGUGUGUCAAGAAAACCGUGAAAUAUGUAAAUAACUCACUCAAUGAUCAGGUUUAGUGCCAUUAAGUCACCCUGCAUGGGUUUUUAAGAUACCCUAAAACCAGUGAAAUAUUUACAUACCAUAAUGCUGCAACUUAAAUCGGUAUGCUAGGCUCAGAUUUGGAGCAAAUGAUGCAUGGUCUGAUCCCCAUCUCCUCAUAUCUGCUUACCCAAUAAUCCUAGGAUAAGAUAUCCCACCCACAUUCUGUCAGUGUGUGUUGCCUGAUUAGCAUAAAAAGUGUGUUUAAGGGCAUAGAAGUGGACUCUGUUUGUUAGCAUAAUGGUGUAAAGUGCAGUUUGUAUUUAUAAGACCAGAAUUACAUUGUAAUUGCACCUGAUGCAAUUCUUUGGAGUUGCAUUAACAGCUUUCAUUUUCAAUAAUAUUUCACAUUGAAUUCAUGAUAAGCUGUAUCACUGUAUCCUUGUACUAUGUGUAAUACUCUGCAGAGGAAAAGCUGACUCACUCUCCAGUGCUCCCAGAUCACAUCGCUUACGCAAUUUGAUUUCCUCCUGAAACAUCUCUUCAUAAGCGGACCUCAGCACCCAGCGGCAGAAUUACAUUCACCACUCUGAUACCGAAGAUUUCGGCCUCUGAAUAAGCAGCAUUUGACGUGUUUUUCAGCUUCAUUUGCAUGGACUUCCCCCAAGAGACUCCUCAGAGACUCUGUUAAAAGUCAACCAGGUGGUUAAAAGAGGACAGCCUGCUUUUCUUCUGUAAUAUGAGGGACUUCUUGUUUACACAUGUGCCCAGAGAAAAGGGCAGAUUGUUUGUGUGGUGUGUCUGUGUGCAGGUGUUUCUCAUGGGAGUUUUAUGUUAUGUCUGUUUGUGUCUGUCUGUGUGUGCGUGUUUGUGUGGGUGAGUGGGAGGGUUAGGGGGGGGGUUUUCUGGGUCUCUGAGCCUAAUGGUUAGUCUCUCACUCCCCACACAUGAGUUUGCAGGUGGCCCCCGUGUCGACCACAAACACACAGCCCUCGCACUGAAUCAGAGCUGCACAGCACAACCUCUUUUCCAGCUGCAGGGUGGGCUAUUUUGCAGACGCUUCAUCCUCGAACUGCUGGUUCAGCCUCUCGUGCCAGACAGUGUCUGUCCUGCUAAAAGGUGAAGGGGAAACAUAAAAUCCUCACCAACACAAGGACAAUUGUCUCUGAUCUGUUUGCAAAGGAGAUUUCCCUUUUAAAAAAAACAUAAAGUAUCAAGUUUAUGCUUGCACAAAUGAGCAUGCACUCCUCUGUCUUUGUUGCUGUAUUUGUCUGACUGCAGCCCUCAGGUCAGCUGCUCCUCUAAGCUAAUGAAAUAGAGCCUUAAGACUGCAGGAGAAGGGAUCUGCUGACUUCUAAGAGAUGCUCCUUUUUACCCAUGAUGCUGUGGCAGGUGGAAAGGCCCUCUAAUCCAAUUAGUAGAAGUUCUUCAUCUAAUCAUCCAAGACAGAAGGUGAUAGCUGGAUAGAGAGGAACAAAGAGCAGGAAAAAAAAUGGAGCCUUUGUAGGAAAGCACAUGCUGUUCCCCCUUUUAACCAAAGUCAUAAAAAGGCCUUUGAAAAAGAGGCAAUCGCAUAAACUCUCAAUCUGUUUUUAUACUGCAGCUCUGUGUAUUCUCACAUAGAGAGCUGCAGCUCUUCUGUUUCUAUGUAUUGCCUUUUUUUCAUAAGCAUUCCAGCAGCUUCCAGACAGCACAGGCCUCUGCUGUAAACAAGAAUAGGUUGUGUAAGGUCUUACCCAGUCUGCUAAAAAAGGUUGCAGCAGGGCAUAAACCCCGUGUGCACAGGCCCUUGAAAUAAAAAGCUUUAGCAGUGCGGACAGCUGAGGGCACUUCAUCACUGCAGCUUAGACUCGCUGCCCUCAGCCAGUCUCCCUGCAAGGGCUGCAAAAUACAUUUCCCCGUCACUGUUUUUACAUGUUGCUUGCGUGUGUGUGGGUGCAGGAAUGCGACAUGAAACACUCCCUCUUGUGAUCUUGUCUUUGCAUAUUAUAUCUCCACUUGAAUCCCGUAUGUCUGCCAUGUGAUUACAUGUCUACAACACUCAAUGUAGAACAAAGAAGCUUGUUUCUUGGGUCUCAGACAGUCUCCUUUUCUCCAAACAGGGUUAAAAAAAAACAAAUCAUGCUAAUUGGUACGCUGUGUCUGUUUGUCCUUCAUGUGACUGCGUUGUGUUCUUACUCUGUCUGGUUCGAUUUGGGGACAGAGUGAUGCUCAGGUGUCUGGCACAUAGAGACCUGCUGCUGUAACUGACAUUCAUUCUUCACACACACCCGCAAACAGUCUGUUCACAAGUAUACACACACAAAGGGAGGGGGGCAGACGCACACACCCUCUUGCAGAUGGUUCACACACACCCACUGCUAAAUUUUCAUCCACAUGCACAUGUAUUUCUGCUCUGGAGACGGACUCUGGUUAGAGUUACGCCGUCUCUGCAGGCUCAAAAGGUUUCAUUGUGACAGGGGAGCUCGGCUGGUAUCACAAAUGAAAGGGUUUUCUCUAAAAUUAUGAUGUUUCAGUGUCACUCAGUUCUUUAAAAAUUAGUAUGUUUCAUAUUCGAUUCCAAGUCUCUUACUUUGUGGCCGUCUUUCUGUCUGAAUCAAACUGUUCUCCACCCUCUAAAGGCUCCUGUAAUCUGAGUCAGAGACAGACGAACACUCAUAGGAGAAUCUGUAAAUGACACGGUGAUCAUAUCUGAAUGUUCUUGUAGCACAAAACCGAGUCUGAAAAUUGGAAGAGGUGCAGACAGACUGUCAUACAGCUAAAUAGGUGAUAACUGUCACAACAUAAACCUGUUAUUUUGCAAACUGCAGCCUCAAAAGCUGACAAUUACAGCCCUGAGUUACAGGACAUGCAGUCAUAACUCAAAGUUUCUAUUAGUAUCUACAAAUUACGAGAUGUUCUGUCCACAUUUAAUACGAUUGGCAGUUCUGACUGACUAUUAAAAAAUGCAUUAUUCAACAAAUGGUAACCUCAUGCUGCAGGACUUCUGCAUAACCUCAAUCACAUGAGAUUAUUCCAGCACCAGCACUGAAUCGAUUACGCUCUGACAGGUUUAGACACUGCCUGAUUUAGCAGCCCCGAGAGCCAGAGAUGGAAACCACGAGAUUUAGUUCGCCAAAAAUAGAAGGCAGAGUCACUUUAAAAAGGAACUGGAGCUCCAAAAAUAAUCUUUCCAGACCGGGUUGGAAUUAAGCUCCCAGGAAAAAAAGCUCAAAGCAAACGUAGACUCGUCUUAGGGGAUAUUUACCGCCCUGUCAUCCACUUAAGGGAGCAUGUAUACCUCCCCCUGCUGCCCUACAUUCAUGCUGUGCUGGCUGUCCUCAGCCUUGCAGACAGAUAAUCUGAGGUAUUCAGGUGAGAGGUAGCUAUAAGAUCUGGUUCUCUCUGGUCAAUUCUAACUAAAGGCAGAAGUUAAUCGUUACGUGUUGCUUGUACCUGAGUGCCUGCAGGUACCGUACAUGAGUGUUCGUGCAUGCGUAAGUGAGAUGAGAUUUGAAAGGUUAAUCACAUUAAUCAGGUGUUCGAACGACUCCUUAGAAGCAUCGGUUGUACUAGAUCUUUCCACUUAAACACUGUUUGUUACGCAUUUGUGUGCAAUUUUAUGCAUGUGUGCUCUGUGCAAAUCACAUGCAAACAGCACAUGCAUGAACGUGUGCCCUCCCCUUGCACAUCGGCUCAGCCCCAUUCAAUCAUUUUACAGACCUUAUGGCUUUUUCCAUGACAAUUUUAGUUCUAAUUUGCACAAUCCAUGUUGUGAAAUGGAUCAGAGUUGGAGUAAAUCCCAACAGCAGAUCCACAUGAUGUACUUUUAGACUCUUGUCUCAGGUGAACAGUGCCUGAGUUUUACCUAAAUUUAGGAUAUAAUCUGGACACUGAUGGAAAACAACCCCAUGCUGACAGAUUUAUGGGUUUAAGACAGAUCAUGUUUUGGAGGACUGACUGAUCAUGGGUCAAAGUGUGAUGCUUGUUAAGCCUGAUAUCUUCUGCUAGCGAAAGAUGGUAAACAAGUCUAAGAUUGACCAAAUUUGAUUUGUUUUUAACUCAAUUUUAGUUUGAGCCAUGGAGGAAUGACAUGUUACCAACACAAUGUCCUCUUGAUAAGAGUCUAUUUUUAAGUCCACCGCACUUGUUUUCUUUCCAAGUCCUGUGAUAUGUGUGAAACUUUAUAAAAACAAACAGAAGCAUGAGAAUAAUUCUUCUCUGUUCCACAAGGAAACCUUUUAUCUCGCAAAACUGCAAAGGAGCUAAGGAGAAUUUCAAAGAUCAUGUUCCCACUAUCUCUUUAUUAUGUCUCUUUCUGUUAGCCUCCAUCAUUUGCACCCUCUUUCUCCCUCAUAGAUACAUGUAUUGCUCCCCUCCAGUCAGGCGUACACAGUGGCUGUUUAGAGCGUCUCUCUUGUAUCCUGCUGUUAAUCCACUUCCCUUUAAAACACUUCCCUUUCCCUUCAUAGAUACACUCAGUGACAUGCACACGCACUAACUCCUGCUAACGCACCAAACAUGCACAUACACCCUCGCACGCUCGCCCACACAUUGCCUAAGGAGCAGAGCCACUAACCCAAACUUCCUACACACUUAGUAUGAGUGUGUUUAUGCGCUCGUUCAUGUAGGCAUGCGUCGGUGCUUUCACAAUAGUUGCAUCUCAAGUGAUAUUUUCUCUCCUUCAUCUAACCCGCUGCUUUCUCACCCUGAUGCCUUAUGACUAAUAGCCCUACCUGGGUUGCAAGAAUUCAUCUGAAAUCUGCUUGCCUGGUACUUUCAAUCACACGCUGCUAGAAAAUACAAAUGUGCUGCCCGAGUGAAUCAUGUGCAGGUCGCCUUCAUCCUGCACACUCCGGAUGUCUACGAAUUGCAAGCCAUUGCUCUAUUUUCUGAUUCCAAUUGAUCUGUCGCUCCUGUCUAUUUCUGGUGACACAAAUGCUUACCUUUUGUGUCUGCAGAUGUAGGUCAAACAGAGCAUUCGCAUUGAAUCUGCUUGAUGGUAGAAGCAGGUCAGUCGAACAGUUAUGCGUUGGCCCAGAUAUCUUAACCCAUAUCUCCUGUUUUAUGUCAAUGAUGGGAAAAUCGAGAAAAACAAAGAAAUAUAACGUGACGACCGGGAUGUCAAUGCUGUCUUCAUCUCAUAGAGCCAAAGAUGGACCCAGGAACCGGGAGGAUGUCAUGCGUCAUUGAUAGGGGGUGGUGUUUAGCUUUGGCCAUCAGCUCUUGUAGCAGGAUUUUGAAACAGACUCAAAUGUUUUUGCACACAUUUACAUGCAAACUUGAUAAAUAAUAUAGGAUUUCUUAUGUAUAAAUCAUAUCUUAAAGUGAGUGACAGAACAAGUUGUGAAACUUUUGAUGAAACUUAUAUUUUUCCCAUCAUACAAUCCUUCAUCUGCAAUCACCCCUGCAGUUAAAAGAGGGUUCAAAGUCUGAAUCAAGACUAGGGCGAUGAACUUCUUGAGAGAUCAGCCAGCUCUGUUUCUACCAUUUACAAAGCACUUGCAAAGUAAAACACUUGGAUUUCUGUGCUGGCCCUGUAAUACAGAGAUGCAGUAAUUAUAGAGAAGAGGGGCUUUUAGAUGCUGAAUUGUCUUCAGAAGGCAGUUCAAAGGCAAGCCGUCACAGCUGCAGCCAGCGCUGAAGGCGCUAAAUAUGCAGUUGUUUGUUUAUAUGAUAGAUUAGAUUUGGUGCAGUUGAUUUUUGUAGUUUAACUUUUGCUGCGUGAGAAAUAAAUGCACUUACCUCUGAAAACUUCUUGUACAAGCUAGUAACUUCAACAAUUUUACAGUACAGCCAUGUGACCUUACUCUGAGAAUUAAAUCUGGCUUUACUGUUGACCCUGAUAUUGUUAAACACACUUAAGUCAUUCUCACCACUGACAAUUUUACCCUUUUAACCCAUCCUGAUGAAGUUUAUCAUCAUCGCAUUGUGGUUGUUUGUGCUGUGUUGUAACCUCUUUUUUGGUUAGAUAGUGGCACACCUGCACAGCAUGGCAUGUGUUUGUUUGUUUGUUUUGCUCCCAUAAACAGCACAUGCAGAUCAUUUUCAGAUGAUGAUAUGUAGAGUCUUAUGAUAAGAAAUAUUUUUUUGUUGUUCAAAUAGACUUCUUGCUGCCACUUGUUGUUUAUACGCACUCUAGGGUCGAGCAGUAAAACAGCUUUUAAUUUUUCCUUGUGUACCUCCUGCAAAAGCUUUUUCUCGCCACAUAAAAGCAUGUGGGCUUUAUUUUUAGAGCAGGAUUAUACCUUGGACUAAACGUCACUGCUAAUGAGGUCAUGCAUAGACAUAACUGCAUCUUUCCUAGACAUUAUGCUUACUGUCUGUCCACGUGCAAAACCAACAUGUGCUCUGCAGGUUUGCGCUUUAUCAGAUCUGCAGGCUCCGGGUUUCUUUGAGCUUGCAUCCUGAGAUGAAGGUGAAAAAAAAACAGGGCGAAGAGAAGCGUCAUUGUGAAAGUUGUGCUCCUCAGAGGGGGAAAAUCAUGUUGCUACAUGAGCAGUUCUGAAAAUGCUCUGCACUCAAAACAGUAGUGUUUGCAAAUCCACGCUGAUCAGCUGUUUCUUUAUAUAGAUCUGCAUGCAGUGAUCUGAAGCUGAGUGCUGGGCUUUGUCUCAGAUAACCGUUGAGAGGUGAGAGUAGAAAAGCAAUUAUUGAUAAAGAGUGUGCUAACAUGACAUUUACGUGUGUGGAGCAGUGAAGGUUACUCAAGGCCUUUCCGUGUCACGGUAUUCAUGUUGUCAAAAGAUGAGACCUAGACUGAUAUGACCCUACAUCAUACCUGUUUGCAUAUACGUAAGUAAUAGCUGUGCAUACACCCCUCAACUGCUUUGCAUACAUUCCUGAACUUACAGGGCAAGUGCAUGUGGGGAACAUAAACUGACUGAGAGGUGAAAAGUAAAGCUAAAUAUUAACCCAAGUGCAAAACUCUAGUAGAGGUUUUGGAUACCUGGUUGUUUGCUUUAUAGAAAAAGCUUUACAUUAACCGUAGAACACUAUCACUAAAAUUUGUAACAUCAUCACUAUCGCCGGGUGAUUUUUACCUGAAAUAAUACACCCAAGAAAAAGUACUUGUCAUCAAAAUAUAUCAAAAUAGGACAAUACAUGACAAAUUAAAGUGGUUUUCUUUUAUUUUUAACUGUGCAAUGUCCAAGGGAAGGGACCACAUAGAAAUGCAUCCAAAUAACUGAAAUAAGGCAUUCAUGAACAAAAUAUAUACAAACUGUAAGCUUAGUUUCUUUUCCACCCAUUCCUGGGGCAUGUGAGUCUUUCUUGGUGGAGACUCAGGGUCCUUGGCACAAUAACAGCUGGUUCAGGAGAGAGAACCAAAAUACGGCAUAUUUUGAGUGAGUUAAUGACCAGCUGAAUAAAAUAUUUCUUAUCACCACAUGAAUUCCCUUGAAAUUCACUACUUUGUGAUAGUUAUUCAUAACCACUGCACUAAAUAAAGAUGGCAUGCAAAUUCCAGGACCACUUGCCUACAUGCAGCUAUCAAAUCCACACAAACCUACUUUACCCUCUGUGACUGUUGCCGGGUGAAAAUCACCCUGUGAACACGUGCUUGUAGGAAAAAGCGGGUUUUGGAUCAGGGAAACAAAUAUGCCUUCAAAGAUGUCAAAGGCGAUGCUGAAGCUACCCAGGAACCCAUGAUACUCAGACAAACGCAACAUAAUGAAAAUCACAUAAGCAUGUUUGGUCGGGUGAAAAUCACCCGGUGAUAGUGUUCUAGGGUUAAAAAGAAGAAGGUCACUGUCAAUUCCUGUAAGUUUCAAAAACUUCUCACAGGAGCUUUAACCUACUAAGAAGUUCUCUUGUCUGUGCCUGAAAAAUAAAGGCAUGUUAGCUGGCAAUUAAGUGUUGAAUCAUUGUGCAACAAAUUUUUAUGUUUGUGUAGUAUAAUUACACCUUUUGUUUUUCUUCUCCACUUAAAAACAGAGCACCUUAUUGGGAAAAAAAACAUGUAUCCACUGGGUUCCCUUAUUCCACAAAUACCCUUACUAAGCAACAAGCAGGUCUGUUUUGUUACUCACACUCUACCUCAUUCGUGUCGUCACAAGCUUUAGUCCUGUUAUAGACACAAUAAAGACUCUGAGGAGCUAUUUGUGCCGCCCGAGCUAAAAAAAGAUUUUCUGUUCUAAAAAUAGAGCGCAAAAACCAUAAACAAUAGGGGUAAGAGUCCUGUUAUUACAGAGCUCAGGCUCCCUCAGCAUUUCUAAGAUUACAGGAGUUAGGAACAGGGGCAGACUGAGAGGCAUUACUGUUGCUGACGUGGACAUGUUGUCAUAAUGACUGUGCAGAAAGAAAAUACUAGGAAACAAUCUUCACCUGACCUUAAGUGCAGGAGGAAAUCCAGCUACAAUUGAGGUGUAAAUUUACCAUUGGAAGUGAUUCAACUAUGAGGGGGAGGUCUGUCUAAAAAUAGCCACUGAGGCAACAAUACCUGUCUGUAAAGUGUAAACCUGAGCUGGGUAAAAAUCUAAUCCAAGAAACUGGCUAUUUAUAGAAUAAGGGGAUUUCAAACAAGGAACAGACUUUCAGUUUUAAGGGCCUUUGUGUGUCUUUCUAUUUUAAGUCAAUGAAUUCCUGUUUAAUGACUCUAUCCAAUAGCCUGUCUUGCAGCCGCACCCACUUCCUGUUGACCAUAUUAACAUAGCUAUCAUCCUUCUUUAUCAUGGCCUGCGUGGGACCAUUUCUGCUUUAAAUCGGCAUCAAGGAUUACCUGACCCUCUGGUCAAUUUCCGAAGGUACAGUAGUAAAUCUGGCACAUAGCAUUUUAAAUGAUCCUUCACAUAUCCUGUUUACAGAAUAUGAAUUAUUGCCCUCGGGGAGAAGAUACAGAGCAAGCAGAUACAAAAGCAAUCACUACAAGCUCUCUUUCCUCCCAACAUCCAUCCACCUCUUGAACAAACUACCUGCAAUAUCUUAAAAGGUUCUUAAUUCGCUGAGAUAUUAUUCUCUAUCUCUUUAGUAUUCUUAAAAUUCUUUUAUUCUUUUAUUGUUUUUAAUUACUUAUUUUGGUUCUUAGAACCUUAAAUGUCACUCUGCACUUUAUAAAUAUUCCUUAUCAGUACUCAUUUAUCUGCCACUUUUGGUAGGCCUUUCUAAGUACAAUUGAAACUUGUUUCUUCUCUGCAACUAGGGCUGUGCAAUAUCUUUGGUCUGGCUCUGAAAAUGUACCCACUCGUGUGAAAUGAGAAGAUGAUGUGAUAUGUCUGUUAAUGCAGAACUGUCGACUGUCUGUAUGUGUUUCUGGUUCGCGCAUUAUGCAAUGCAGUUGUUUUUUAGCACUACUGACUGUCCACGACAAAUUUCGCUGCGGGGACAAUAAAGUUAUAUUGAAUUGAAUUGAAUUGAAACUGUUGUUCUUAUCUAGCAUAAGGAUGGCUGGAGGAGGCGGAAUAUAUGACCUAUACUGCAGCCCGUCAACAGAGGGUGCUGUUCUCGGAGUGGCUUCACCCAGCAAGGAGGCAGACGGCAUCCAUUCUAUAUACAGUCUAUGUAUUUGACCAAUUUGAAACUUUGGACGCUGCUGAAUAGAGGUGGGGCAAAUAUGAAUGCUGCAACAGUCAACGCCCUGACUCAUCUGAUACAGACGUUGCAUCACUGGUGUCAAAUAUCAAUAGCUGAAUUUGAAAUAAUAACUCAGUGCUAUAAAUAGAUUGCUAUUCCAGGUUGACUCACUGUGUCGCUACUUCAUGAUUCCUCAUGGCAGUAAUACUUUAGUCAAUGUGAUGUAAUUUUACGAUUGUCUUGAAGGAUAUCAGCUAUCUCAGAACCACUGUGUAGGGAUAUUAUAGCUAUCAUAGAUAAGGAAUAUAGGGUAUCGUGGUAUUUCACAGUAUCAUACUGCACUGUACUGUAUUGUGGCGCAUUGUAUCAUGUUUUGUCAUAUUGCAUCAUAAUGUAUCAUAUAGUGUUGUGUCUUGUUUUCAUGUAUGGUAUUGCAUCAUACCUACUCUGCUGUACAAUAUUAUAAAGCUUUCCAAAAGGACAGUGACAGCAGCAGAAAAUGAUCACUAUGUGGAUAUGUUAUCUCAGUGUUUUCUCUAUCAAACAAAUGCUUAACUUUAGAUCUUUUCGACUAAUAUCCACAAUCAGCAGCCGAACUGCUUCUCUUUGUUUCCAGCUCAAGCUUAUACCACUUGUGAUCCUCUGGACUAGAUAUGAUCAUUUGAAGAGGCCCAAAAUUAAUACUUUUAAACAACUGCUCUGCCAUAAUCUUGUUCAAUCCUGCAUGUGUUUUUAUGCUUAUCCCCUCCCUCCAUCAUCCAAUCAAAAUCCUUGAUUAAUGAGUUCAAAGGAUCCAGCAUAUGGAUGGUCAGACCCACAAAUACACAAGUCAGAUUAAAAUAAAGAAGCUAGAGCUGCUAUUGUGGAGGCAUUAUUGCUCAUUAAAGCAUUUUUCUGUAGGGAUUUCAGAGUUGGUGUUUGUCCAGAGAGGAAGGGGGGUGCCUACAGAAUUAUUAGUGGCCUCCAGAUGUUCAUGCUUUUGUCUGUUUGACCAGUGACAAAACAACUGUAAGGCCUUUCUUUCUGCAGGGAAGUGUGCUGCUUGAACUCUGUGACAUUAAGGUUACUCUGUAAUGUUUUUGGACAGGGAGUGAUGGAGGAGGGUUCUGGGAGAAGGGGUGUGGGUGCCUUCCUUUAAUUUGAAGUUACUUGAAGGAGUCAGUAGGCCAGUCCUGCUGCCUGAAGCCACUGGUCUUAGGUCAGGCUCAAGCCCUUUAAGCAUGCAUCCUUCAGUUUGUUGGCCUGUAUUUUGCUGUGAUCAUAUUCCAGCUAAAGCAUGCCUAUUAACUCUUUUACAAGGCAUUGACAGCCUUUAUACAAAGUGUAUGACCAGAUAACAUGAUUUCAAGAUAUAGAAUUUCAAAGGUUAAAAGCCUCCUGUGAUAAUUGAAUGACUCAUUUCUAAACAGCAAACGAUUGCAGUAGCGAGAGUUCACUGAGUACGGUGCCAUCAGUCUAAACCACAUCAAACAGUCAUUCUUGUUUCUUUUUUUCUCUCACUAUCUCAUCUUUUUCUUCUCUUUUCCUUCUUUUCUUCUCUAUGCUUCCACUGUCAAGAAUACCUGUACCGCGUUCGCUUCUUUCAUCCCACCCCCUAGAUUUCUUCUUUACCCGUCUUGUGCCUCCCAUAUGCCACAAUCAUGUUGCCUCAGGGUGUGAACCUGUGUGCACUCUGAACACAGGGUGGAGGAAGGGGGAAGAAAAGAAGAGAGUGAGGCUAGAUGGGGUGAGUUGUUUUGAAGAGCAAAGGUUGUUAUUAGGUGCUUCAUAAUGUGUGGAAAAACUCAGCAGCUGUUGCAGCAAAGCGGAGUUAAUGUCACUAAGGCAUAAAAACAGCAAUAAUAAAUUUGUUGUAAAAACAGAAUGAGUAACCUUAACGCGGGUCAGAUUAUGGUUUUGCACAGAACAUCGGUGUAAAUCAUGCAAUAUGCUACGUAUAAAGUUCAUAAUACAGUAUAUCAAAUCAAAGGAUAUCACAUAAAGUAUUGUAGAGGUCAGAGGAUUGGAGAGGGUCAGUUUAUUGAACACACAGACGAGUAAAAACCAGGUUAGUGUGUCAAGCACCACACCGCAGCCCUCCGUGUAUCGAGGCAGCUCACUAAAAGGCCCCUCUUUUUAGCUGUGCGGCUGCUGGUAUCUCACGUCUCAUUAACUCUCAGCCAACAGGUGAGAGCACAGCUGCAAGAAUCUGCAUACAUCUGUCACAGCAGAGUGGCCGGUCAGAGGCAGAGCGAGGGGAGGGCCUCGUAAGUGACACAGCUGUCCCUGCGAGCACAUACUGUUGAUGCAUGUGGCAGAUAGAUGAAUGUUUGCUGAGAGUGUCAUAUACGAAGAGUACCACACAUACAGUUCUGGCCCUGGUGUCCAAAUAUAUACUCACAAUUUAACCUAAAGGGAUAUUCCGGCAUAAAAGUAAGCUAGGGUCAAACAUACCGUAACACCGAGUUAGACACCCCGUCAAGAGAUGAUUGUUGCCGACCGCUUGCUUCUCUAGUUAUACCAACUUUAGUAACGACCGCAGGAUAGCAAUCCAGAGAGUCACACGCUCAACCUAAAAGCCUCUCUAUAGCCACAAAUAAUGCUCAGAACAGCACCUAACUUCAUCAACAGAACAUAUAGGGUCCCAGCCAUAGUACUAGCCAUCAAACAUCUUUUUAACUUUGGCAAAGAGACUAAACACAACUCACCUACUCUCUUCCAGCAGCCGCUUGUUUGUACAGGCAAGCUCAGGCAAGUCCAUUGACUGUGGCGGGGUCACGCAGCUCAAGGAAGAACAUUUAUGAUCAUUACUUUAUAAUUUCCUUGAAGUAAUAAUCAUCAUGUUAAUCAUUUUGCACUGCAGACACGGUAGUUCUUCUGCUUUGGCGUCUCUGUCUGAUUGCAUUUCCAUGAAGAAAUGAUCAUAAAUGUUCUUCCUUGAGAUGCACCACCCCACUGCAGUUGAUGGACUCACCCGGAUCAUUUCCUCAAUUUUACGCUGGAAUAUCCCUUUAAGGGUGUUGAUUUUAGGUUUUUAGUAAAUUCUUUAUAAUGUAACAAUUAAAAAAGAGGAGAAUGAGACUUGUGAUUGUCUGAACUUUUCAAGUCCUAUUAAAGCAACAGAAGUGAAAAAUGUCAUUAUGUUUACUACUUGAACUACUUUUAUUACUGUUUUAUCAUUCCUAGCAUUCCACUCUUUCUCCUUAUUGUAAUAAAGUUACCUCUACUGACACACUGCCUAAAGGAGUGCCUCAAACACACAAUAACAAAUGACGGGGUUUGAUGGCGUCAUGAAAAAGCACGAAAUUAUGCGGGCUGUUGUCUCCGUUGUUAAACCACUACUGUUGGUGUGAUUCAGGCUGGAAACAUGCACACAGACAAGAGAGCUGAUGGAGGUUUUAUGCAUGUGACGUUAAGUCGCAAAUGUCAAUGUUGUGUUGUUUUGGUCUAACGCAUCAGCAGUAUUUUUAGAAACAUUAGCAGGUUAUUGACCUCUUUGAUCCCUUGCUGGUAUGCUGUAUAGUCUAAUGUUUUAAAUUCUUCACCCACAGAGUAUCUAGCUUGUAGAAACUAGAAAAAGCUUCACAGUUGGAUCUACACUACAUGUUGUGGACUUAGUUAAAAGUUAGGAAGGAUUUUACACAAAUUGAACCCUUUAAUCCUCUCUUAAAUACCCCAAAAUCAACUGCAUUUUACACACAUAUAUUCCUGAUUUUCUGCUGCGUUUACAUUGUAGUUUAAAAGCGCACACAUUUACGCACACAAUAUAAAAUCCCCUGCAGCUAGCUCUCCACACAUCCCACCAGCGCUGUUUCUGGAGUCCCCAUGUUCAGGCUGAUAAGUGAGGCCUAACGGUACCACUUCCUUCUCCACCGUGAUUAAUGGCUCACUAUCAGGCACUGCGAGCUGCUACAGCAGAACGUGCAGGUCAGGGGUCAGGGGAGGAGAGAUAACCACCUGCUGGAGCAGUUUGGAGCCCCUACAUUUAUCACCACAGCCGGGUAUGUUGACGUGAGUGGUAGUCGUCAGGAAAUUUUGUGAAGGUUGUCUUUGUUCCUGCCGUGGAAAACAAGCUAACAGAUGUUUCAGCUGAGCUUCAACUACCUGGAAACAUCAUGGAAACAAAGGCAGGCUUUGAAACAAGACGUUAGCUGCACCAAGUUGGUGUAACAAGACAGUCAGCAAAGGGCUCUUACACCACUAUGGAUGAGGUCGACAGACGAAAAAUCAGCCACUCCUUUAGCAAGUUUGCUGAGUAAUUAGCAACCACUGUGUUAUGCAGGGGUGUUUUUUUUCAGGAUGUGUGUUUACAGAUACCUGCUGGUGCUUCAUCUGCGUUAACAACCACCCUUACCUUUGGCGGCCCCACCCAUUCAGUCAGCAUUACAGCUGAGGUGACACCUUUCCAACAAUGAUCAUGGAGCACCCGCCCAGGCAAACACAAAAAGUGAGUUAAGGAAAGAAGUCAGAAGUGUAGAGAUUAGAAAGCUAUUUCUGAGGCACUCCUGGGGUGAGCAGACAAAGACCAGGAGAGCUUCCACCUUGUUAAUACAAAUCACAAAACGUAAGCCUCCCAGUUUAAUUCAAAUACCCUCAUAGCUAAUCUCCUGCUUUGGUUAAACUGCCAAUUCUAGUGCUGCAGCUGAAACCAUCGCAGAACUGUUUAUUGUGUCUUUCUAAAGAAGUGAUUACAGUCUUUUUAAAUACUGAACCUCCGCACACCUGCAUUCUGCGCAGAUACACUGUGUACAAGCUGCAAAUCAUUUUAUUAUAUAAUAGUCCUAAGAGGGCGUGUAAUUUCACAGCUAUGAGACGGUGAUGACAGACCUCUCAUAGAAGUUCAAAAACCCGUAAGAAGUCUUGGCAGUGAUACUGAGGGCUAAAAAAAAAUCAUUUGUGGAAACUUUUGAGACAACAAGUUCUCCUGAAAUAGCAGCUUCAAUGAAAAAUAACAAAAAGAAAUGAGAGCCUUGGUUAGGAGCUGUUAUUUUUGAGGAUUUAAUUUGAUGGAAAUGGAGAGAGCUUGGCAGAUUUUAAGUUUGAGCCAAUCAUGAGACACACUGACUGCUAGAGCUGCCUUGUGCAUGAUUCUCAAGUAAUAAGAAUCUGCCCUGAAAGCCAAAGACACAACUAAUUCAUUGCAUUAAUGCACUGCAAGACCUUUAUUUUCCGACAAAACCUGUAAAAUUAUAACAUUUUGCCUCUUUUUUAUGCAUAAAAAACCUUAAAUGUCAGAGAGAAAUGUGUACAACUGUCUUAAUCUGAGUGACUUUAAGGGACCUGUCUCGCAGUCUGCCAUUAAACUCACAAAAGUACGUCCACGCAACUACAUUUAGUCCUGUUAAUCCCCCGGGGUGUGUGUUAACAAAGGUAAUGAGCCACUUAUCACAUAGUUAGUUGAGGAUUAAUUACCUGGUCAGUGUUACUCAAACAGGACACCCUGAAGACACCCUGAGGGCUGUCUGCACCACACACUUGUCUGUAAUGCUGCAUGCUGCUCUGAAGCUCAUUAUACUGCGAGUGGGAGCGCAGGGACAGUUCACAUACACACACACACACACACACACACACACAUGCACAGUACACACUGAGCCUGUACUGCAGAGAAAUGAUUGAGUGUUUUUAGCUAAGAAGCUUUACUGCAAAAGGGAUUCACUGCUAUGACCAAAAACUGAUCCGAAUGUGAGAAGUGUUGCAGGGGUUUACUGAAAACUGUGACCCUGCAUGAGUGGUAAGAACUGAGGAUCCAGGCCAGGCCUCAAGACUCCUGCAUUUUUCAUAACUACAGAGAAAGAGAGAGAGAGAGAGACACGCACACAGAGAGCAAUUGACUCACAGCACUCUCAGUCCUGACACUUUCUGCAGACUGUACACAGCUGUCUCUGCAGUAAGCAGGCUUUUUUUUUGGGAUAAUCUUCCUCUAAAUGGGAAUUUGAAAUGUGACUACAUAAAUCUGCUAGUUUUCAAAGCCCUGGAGUGUUCAUUAUGUUGCACGCAGAGUACAAGUAGCUUUUCUCUCUGCUUCCAAGGGCUCUUUGAUUAUGAAGGAGUCUCCUCAGGAAUGUUAUGCUAAACUCUGCGCUGCAGACGUCAGGACUUUGAGGUUGUGGAUGCAUACCACUAAUGCCAUUCAUUUUACUCUGCACACAUGUCCAGUGAGCGAGAGAGAAAGAGAGAGAGAGGGAGAAAGAGAGAGAGAGAGAGCAGUGAGGGAAUCCCCAUGGGGCCUUCUCUUUUUCUCUUUUGGUGAGCACUAAACGCUUAACAGAACAGCUGCAGACACAAGUGUGUGAUGUUGGGAAAACCUGCUGCAGAACAUCAAACCACCCAAAAAGCCAUCUGAGUCUGACCAAAGAGAAAUAAACUCGACUUCAAUAGAGCCUGUGUUGGCUUUCUGGCUUCUUUUUUUCUAUGUUUGAUGUCUUACUUUUCUUUAAAGGCUAUGAUCAGACCUGCAUCAAAUACUACACUUUAAUAGUGCAGACACUUAGGCUGCAGUAAACAGUGGAGACAGUGGUGAGAAGUAAUCAAGUACAAAGACUAAACAGAUAAACUACCCCUGAUGGCUGACACGUAUAAGAUUACGUGUAUUGUUUUACAGUUGUUGAGCUUAUGCACACCUGAUAAUAGGAAAGGCUGGGAUUUAUUGAGUAAAGAUGCGUUCAUUACUCACCAUACUCGUGAUUCUGACUGAAAUCAACCCAAAGAUCAUCUCUGACCCUUUAGUAUGUCAAACCAGAGCACUUCUGUGCAUGCCAUAAUGUUGUUUCAUGUUUAUGUCCUUUGGGCUGGAAAUUUUAUGAGACUGGCAUCAAAGUCCAAAUGUUUGUGGUAAAACUUCACUGACAUUAUUGUUGAUCAGACUGUAAAUGUGUAUACACAUCACAUCAUGCAGGGCAGACGAGGAUACACACACAAAUUACUGGCAUGUUCACGAUCAUCCUUGGUCUUUUACCUUGUGAUGAGGUGGGUCGCCAGGUACUGUGAGUGCUGGGAUUUUGUUAUUACUUGCUUUUCUGAUGCUGAUGCCAGCUGAAACCACUGCGUAGUAUUCCUUUAAGACGUCCUCCCCGUGGAUUAAAAGUGUUUGAACCCAAGAACAUUUGUUUUCCUUUGAAGACACAAAUUUUGUGAGGUGCAAUCUUGUUAACCUACACACCAGUGAUGCCAGUUUGGUAUUGGUUUUUCAGGAACAAUAGUGGUCAUCAGUCGUUAAUGAGAGUGAUACUCCCUGGAACCAAUUUAUAUUCAAAGUUAAAAUUACAAUCUUUCUAUCAAAAUGUGCAAUUUGUAAUAUAAACACUAGAGCAAAUGCUGUUAAAAUACCUUCAGGAAAUUUUGAAUCAAAACAUUAAAUGAAACAUUGAGUGAAAACAGACUCAGAAUUAAAGACAAACUGCCAUCUAGGCUGAAGUAGUACAAACUUUAAAGCUACUGUAAGGAUUUUUUCCAUGUUUAUGAAAUACAGUUAAAUUCGUGUUGAUGACUUUUUUAUAACAAACAAAAGCAAAUAAGACCAUCAGCAACAGGACUGACAGUUUUUAUACAGUUAUUUGUAAUACCCUACAUUACUGGGGGGGUCUACUAGGUAGCUAAAGAAAUGCCCCUGUUUUCACACUUUACACACGUUCACAGUAAAUGAUAUAUUUGACUGUAAAAAGUCAGCAGGAUGAAAUUUUCUGUCAUAAGACACCUCUAAGCAUGUGACAGAUGAGAUGAGCCACAAUUGUCACAAACCCAAAGUUCCUCACAAGAGCUUUAAUUUAUCAAUUUUAUUGAUAAUCAGUAAACUAAAAUAAUGAUGUAAUCAACCAAUGAUAUGUUAUCAAUCAAUAAAAAGCCACCAGGUUGUUAUUUGUGUAAGCAGCACCCCUUCUUUUGACUUUGGAUUUCUGUAAUUGGUCUAGUAUUUUCAAAAUGAGGUGCCACUUCUUUGUCAUUAACACUGAACUGUUAAACAGUAAUCAAACUUUUGUCAUCUUCGUAUAAACUUUGCCAAGUGUUUUAAUUUGACAUAUUUUUGAUUAACAUUGUAUAGUUUUGUUUGCAGGCUGACUUGCCAGCAGGUUACUGGUUGGUGGUAAGGACUGUUAACCUUAAGCUGCUGCAUGUGUUAAUCUCCAUACAUUCAUUAUCUCCCCCUCUUUGUUGUUUGUAAGAUUACAAUGGAAAAAAACAACAAGGUACUUGUUCAUCCCGUAUUACAACCAAGCCCUGUUUCCUUCCAAACCUAGGAGAUUUAGAGGAACAAAGGGAAAUCAGGGGGAUAAAACAACAACUUCUUAACGCAGAGACAGUGGUUUUACCGAUAGGAUUCCCUACUUAGCUGAUUUUACCUAAGUGUUAUCAUCGAAAAAAACACAGUGGAAGAAAAAGCAAUCCCAUUGUUCUGAAUCGGAUGUUUACCAUGAUGUGAUCUGCUGCUUCCAUAUGGUGAUCUCUAAAUGGUGUCUCCCCCUCAAAGUGUUGGGAUUGUAAUCCCUCAAUGUCAGAUUAGUAAAUGCUUAAAUUCCUUCUGCUAUUUAUUACCAACAUAUUCCUGGUUAAGGGGUGCAACGGCGAAGUGGAUAUGAAAGAAAAAUGAGAGCAAUAAAGACAAAAAUAUGAGAAACUGGAGAUGGAAAUUAGUAAUAGCAGAAAUAUUGGAUAAGUGGGAAUAUUAAAGAUAUCUGGAGCUGUUAGAGAAGAUAGAUGGAGAGUAGACAGAUUGUACUAUGAAGGCAGAAAUCUGAAUGAAACGUGUGAUUCAUGAGUGGAGGUGGAUGUUCGAGGUCAGUGUGCGCGUGUGAAAAGUGAAUAAUAAUAGGUCAGAAGGUGGGAAUAAAGAAUCAGUGUGACAAUAUAGAAGAUCAGACAAUCUUCCUUCUAUGACAAUGACUUGAAAGUCACAUAAAAAGUACAAGUGGUUUAUAACUAACACUGAUAAUUUGAUCUCCUUACUCUUAUCUAUGCAUGUUAAAACUGUCCACUCAAAUACACACCUCUGACUUUUCCAAAUUCUUUCAUACUCAUAAACACGCUGAGACUGACACGCACAUACAUAAAUCCUCAGGGGGGGUAGUUCGGCCGCAGCCUCAUGCUGUGAUAAACAUCCCAGGGGGAUUUCAGUCACACUGAUCCUCUGAGAUUGCGUAUGUGUCAAUAUGUAAACAUGUGUAUCUGGAUAUAUUGCUCUGUUUUUGUUUUCAGGGAUGUACUGUCUUCCAUCAUGUGGCUUUUGAUGUGGCGGCGGUGUUGUUGACGUCCACAUGGUUACGCUGUGGCCUUUUGAGGGCUGAAUUCAUUAAAGGAUUGUUUGACCAUGAAACAGUGAAGCAGGAUUAUGACAAAGCUCAGAGUGUAUAAAAUAAAACCUCAAUAAUAAACACGUGAGGUGCUUGUACAGUACCAGUUUUUCAUAUAACUACAUACUUAGGUCUUUUUUACUGUAGGGUGUGUUAUCAUUUAUGAAUUAAACAAUGAAAUUGCAAAGAAAUGAGUUAGGCCAUGCAUUUUGCCUCUGUUCAUGUAUUACCUUUUUCCUAUUGGUGCAUAUUCCUCUGCAUGAUGGCAGGUUCCACUAACAGUCCUUCAACAGAGUUAGGAGUGUUAGUUACUGUUAAAGAGAAAAUUUGUGUUGGAUGUAGGGCUGGGUGAUAAAAUGAUAAAGAUAUAUAUCGAAAAUUAAUUUCCCUCAAUAUCAAUACAAAACAUGGUCAAUAUCCCAUUCGAUGGUCUGCAUUCUACCAUGUUUUGGUCGACUAUACAAAUGGCCAAUGAAAAGGGGAGUUGCUCUGGGUCCACUUAGCGCUGAAUCAGAACAAAGUAGCAAACAACAGCGUAGUAGCAGGCUGCAGCUACACGCAAACAUAGCACUUUAACAUGUGAAACCAACAGCACUCAACAGAUGAUGACAUCGUCGACAAGACCGGCACGAAACACUGGUGGUGUGGAGGUAUUUUGUUGCUGGGGGUCGGACAUUAAGCAGAGUAAUUUGAACUGCAAAUUAUGUCGAGAGUAUGUUCUCGCAAAGUCGGUAAUACUUCAAAUCUUUUUCACCACCUGAAGCAGAGCCACAAAAAACCCAGAGCACAGCAAGGAGCCCAUGGCACCUGUGCAGCCGAAAAAGCCGACCUCAGCGCCUUACAACAAAACAUUCAAGAGACACAAAGACCUCACAGAUGCAGUAGCUUAUUGUAUUGCAAAAGACAUGCUACCAAUAAGCACUGUUAAAUUUCAUUUUUUGCAUCAUGAUAUAUAUAUUGAUAUCCAAUGAUAUGAAAAAAAUAUAUCUUGAUAAUCUUUUCCCCAUAUCGCCCAGCCCUAGUUGUAUAUCUAAAAAUCUCAAUGAAAAAUUUUAUGAUCCAAGCUUUUUUUGUCCAGAAUGUUUUCAUGCUUUUACUUUUUUUUUUUGCAUUGAUGUUUUUGAGAGAAGUUAACUCAGAUGAAGUGCUCAUACAUUCAUAGAUUGCAUUUUUUUGUUUUUUUCUCCACCCUACUUUCACGUGUUGCACUUACUAACACCUUGUGAUGAAGCAUGUCGAAGCAAACAUCCACAUGCUCAUUAGUAGGUGUGAUCACAGACAGCCUGUCGGCUUUGCAGAAAGCAUACGUGAAAGAAUCCAUGGCUGCGUCCUCAGAUCACCUUAAAUAAUCUCUCCUCAUGUGACCCAGAUUACAUCGAUCUCCAUAGGCUUGUGGUUGGAGCGCGGCUGAUCCUACAGUCCAGAUUCUGCUGGUACUAUGCUGCACUGUGCACCAGGCAUACAAAGAGGGCCUUGUGCUGAUGCAACAAAAGGCAACAGAG